rnacentral:lncRNA from 1 species
AACCAAUGAUUCAAAAUCAACAUAACGAGAUCCCGACAUCAUUUAGUCGAAGCAUCAUAGUAUUGAAACAAAUAUUUAGAGAGAAAAAUCUUUAUUCAUAAUAGCUCACAAAAAUUACAUUUGCAUUACAUACACAACACAACACAACAUCAAUACAUACAUGAUCCAUUACAUACGCAUAUAUUAAACAAAUUGAAAAAUAAAUAAAAAAAGAAGAAGAAGUGAAAUUGUUUGUGUCACGAGCUUCAGCCUUGCAACUAUGUCAUUUUCAUCAUACCAUCUUCAUUCUCGGAUAAUCCUGCAUCAAGUUACAUCCAUCAAUAAACAAAUUAAAAGUGAAGCCGCCUUUAUUCGCGUUUAUUUGGUCUUUGGUUUGUUGGAGCAUUUGAAAUGCGAGAAAUAAUUUGGUUUUUAAACAUUCCAUUUGGAAUGUGGUAGAGAUUUUAUUGAUUAUUAAAUCUGUUGGGUGGGAUUGGAAUUCGCGUUUAUUUGGUCUUUGGUUUGUUGGAGCAUUUGAAAUGCGAGAAAUAAUUUGGUUUUUAAACAUUCCAUUUGGAAUGUGGUAGAGAUUUUAUUGAUUAUUAAAUCUGUUGGGUGGGAUUGGAUUUCUAUUUUGUCUAAGGGGAGUAUAGAUAUUAAUAGAGAAUUAUGGUUUGAUAAUCCUGCAUGUUUCAUUGGAUUAUAACUUUUCCCUUUGAAUUGGGUUGCACCCCUUGUGCGUUUUAAUACAAGUGUUUAUCAAAAAAAAUAAACAAAUUAAAAAAAAAUAUGAAAAUGUUUUGGGACUUGAAGGACAGGAGCUCCUAAUUUGCACCAACAUGGUUUCAUCAACAUCCAUAACAUCAUUAUCACACCAACAUCAUUCACAAAUAUACAUCAAAAUAAAUUGAAAAUUCAAAAAAAGGAAAUGACAUGAAACACAUGGAAAACUCGUGCAGUGUCAUCAACAUACAUCAAUCAUUCAUCAUCCCAUCACAUGACAUACAAACCUCACGCAACUCAUGCUCUCAGUCACAAUUUUUUCACCCUUCAAACUCCCUCAAAAAUCACUCAAUCUCACCUCUUUUCCCCCUCAAAAGCUUCUCACGAGGAUCACCACCUCAUCCAAAUUCGUCCCUAUAAAUAAACCUCAUUGCUCACUCUCUAAAACACACAAGAAUCUCUAUUAAAUCCCUGCACAAAUAUCUCCCAAAGCCCCAACAAACCUCUGCUCAAAUCUAGGCUCACCUUCAACACUUGCUGAAAGCCAACAAAGAUAGAAUCGGAGAAAGAAGUUCAGGAUGAAAAGAGACAAAGAAGUAGUGGGGAUAAGACAUGCCUGAAGGUAGCGAAGACCGCCAGAGUUCUCUCCGGAAACUCUGUUUCUGGCGAGGUGCUUCUUUCCACUUUUCAUGAUCACUUUACCUUCCUUGUUGCACUUUCAUUGUUAAUUUUAUCUCUUUUGUUGUAAAUAUGUGUAAUCGUGAUGAAUUAAUGAGAAUUUGGGGAUAAAGUUAAAUUUGGGGGAAUGGCAUUUUGUUUGUUUGAUUGAGAUUUUGUUCAAAUUGAUGCUAGAUUCGGUUUCAGAGAGGAAAACCGAUUGAAGUUUAUGUUGUGAGUUUUCGCGUUUGAUGUGGUUUGGGAAAAUAUGGACAACUGAUGAACACCUUCAUGGUGUUCAUCAUAUUCUGUUCAUAGGUUUUUGGCUUUUGAUCCGUUUAAGAAGAAAAAUGAAGUUUGAAAAUUGUUUGUGAGAGAGAGAAGAGAGAACGUCGAGUGAGGAGAGAGAAGGAGAAGUCAAUUGUGAAUUUCUCAUGUGCUACUUCCUUUUUUUUCUUAUUUUCAUCACAAUCUCACUCCCUUGGCCACACGUGGCCUAGCCGCUAACCAUUGGAUCAUUUGACCUGGUCUUCAUUGACUUGCAUCCCAUGUGGAUACCCCACCCCAUUUACCACGCGUCUGCUUAAAACUCUCCCUUUGAUCUUGUGAUGGCAUGAUCUGGUGUAUGAGGUUGACUCAACACAUGUUGACUCCCUCAUCCCUUUGAUUGGGCUUACUACGCGUUUGGGCCUUCUCUAGCCUAGGGGCCUCUUUGUUUCCAGCACCCCUUUUUAUUUUAAUCUCUAUCUUUUUUUAUUUUAUUAUUGUGUGUUAUUUUUGUUGGGCCUUGGCUCGUUGUUUUGCUACUUGCAUAUACUCCUCAUAUUUAUUACACCUCACCCCUCUUUCAUUUAUUUUCUUUUACCAUUUAUUUAUUUUAUUAAUUAAUCUAAUUUAUUAAAUAAAUAUUUGAUAAUUAAAAUAAAUAUUUUAGAAUUAAAAAAAACAUUGAUCUAAAGUCAAGUGACCUUUUCAAAAAUUCAUCAUCUUUCGAUCGAUUCCAAAUCAACGCAAAUCAAACCUUGAUCCAUAUCAUGAUCAUUUUCAAAACCAAAAUAAAACACCUAAUUAUUUUCAAACACCUUUCACAAAUAAGAUGAAAAAGGAACAGUUUAGUGUCUACCACUCUUUUCCUCGAUUGUUUGGAUACGAGUCGUAUAGCUUGAUCAUUUGAGCAUUCGUCAUCCGUUUAAAACUCUCAACUCAAUUCAUAUUGAACCUCUUUCAUGAUAAAAUCUUGAGAAUCUCAUGAUAAAAUCUUGAGAAUCUCAUUUUUCAUAAUAACUCAGACGAAAAAGGAAUAAUUAGGUGUAUACCUCUUUCUUCCCCGCAUACUUGGAUAUGAGCUGUAUAGCUUGACCAUUCGAGUAUUCAUCUUCCAUUCAAAGAACCUUAAUCAUAUCUAACCCUUUCAUAAUUAUUUGGGUGAAAAAGGAACAAUUUGAUAUAUACCACUCUUUUUCCCAAUUGUUUGGAUACGAGCCGUAUAGCUCGACCAUCCGAGCAUUCGUCAUCCACUCAAAAACAAACUUCAACCAAUCAAACUUAUCCUUUCUUGCCCGCGUGCGAUCAAAAUCUUUUCUAAAACCAAGCACGGUUUAGUCCAUUCUACCGCGAUACAAACAAAUGCUUAAGACUCCAAUUAUAAGCACACGAACAAUUUUUAACCGUUAGAAUAUAACCUAAACAUUCGUUCACUAAAAUCAACCAACAAAUACGUGGUUUUCUCCCAAGAACUAUGUAGCUUUGAGUUCUCCAUCGUACCCGGGAUAUGUAGGAGCGAGAUUUAACGUCUCGUCAAACACUAUAACCCAAAACCCAAAAAUAUCCUUUAUCUUUCCAGAACUACGUAACUUUGAAUUCUCAUCGCACCUGAGGAUACGUAGGAGCGAGACUCACAAUCUUGUCAAACACCCUAAUAAAAACCUAUUUUUGCGACCUUUUAUUUUUCCUUUUAAACUUUUAAUAACAACAAGAAGAAAAAUAACAUUAAACUAACAUUCAAUUUGAAAAUAUAACUAAAUGGUUUCCGUUGAGCACAACGGAUACGAGGGGUGCUAAUACCUUCCCUUGCAUAAUGGAUUCCUAAACCCGAAUUUGGUUGCGAUUAUUUUCUUUGAUUUUAAGGGUUUUAUCGAGAUUUUCCCUUUCCUUUUGGAACAAAUAAAGUUUGAUGGUGACUCUGUUAUCAUCUCGAGCAUGCGUGCGCUCCCGGUAUUUUUCGCACCGUAACAACUAGCAACUCUAUUGGGGAAACACUUCAUCUAGAUAGUCAAGCCUAAUUUGGUUAACUUUACGAUUAAAAUGUUGGCAUUGUUUUCGUCCAUCUGUUUUAUCUUUUAUGUUCUACUACUGUUUCUUGUUCAUAUGUUAUGAACGAGAUUCUCUAAUUAUUGAUACUGUGUGAGAUAGGCUCUACUCUCGAGUCUGAGAAGAACCUUAAGUUUAAGAUGGUGGUUCUGUAGUAUUGGCCCGUGAGAUGUAUGCCUCGUUGGGAUGAUACGAAGACCCCGCCUAAAGUAGACCCUCUUGGAGGUAUUGUUAUCUGAUGAGUAUUCGUCGAGGAUGAAAUAUUUUCAAAUAUGAUCAAUGACUCCAGGGACUUUUUUAUAACCUUGGAAUCGAUGGUUGUGGGGCAUUGACCUGCGAGGUGUAUGCCUCAUAGGGUUGAUACGAAAAUAUCACCUAGAAUAGAUCGUCUUGAUGGUAUUAUUGUCUGAUGAGGCUUUGUCAAGGCGGAGAUAUUCUCAAGCAGAGUUCAUGACUCUGGGAACGUACAACCAUAAAGCCUACACAUGGGGUUUCACUAAUCAAGGAUACCUGUACUUUUGAUAUGAUUGACCAAACCAAGAUAUACUCGUGAUCCUGAGCCAAUCAUAUGCAUUACAUUCCCCUAAAAAAACAUUUAGCAUUUGCAUUUUUGUUGUUAGGGAAUAUAAAAGACUACAAUUAUUGUAAGCAUUCAAGAGUAUGAGAUCAGACAGAAGAAAUACAUACUCCUUCACAUUCAAAUCUCAUAAUCUGGAUAAUUUUCUGUCAACAAGAUUGACUUUGGGGCAGAGCAUGGGAAUCUCCUCAGACUUUUAAUUAAUGAAGUAGAUCCACUAACAGUCUUGACCCUGGAUCAGUUCUACGACCCUCCGUUGAGGUGCUUCACUUUCCAAGAUUUACAAAUAGCCCCCACAUUAGAAGAAUUUAAGCAUAUUGUGGGAAUCAACAUGAAGACCAAGCUUCCUUUCUUUGGUUAAGAAGAACUUCCUAAGCAUAAGGUUAUAGUUGUUGCUCUACACAUACACAAGAGAUAUGCGACCCCCAACCUAGAGACCAAGGGAAAUACCCAGGGUUUCUAAAUCAAGUUCUUAGUAGAGAAAUUUUCUACCUUUGCUGAUGCCAAUAAUUGGGAGGCCCGCGAGAUCUUUCUAUCUCUAUCUAUCUAUGAGAUCGUUUUAUUCCCAAACAUUGACGAUUUCAUAGACAUGACAACCAUCUGUAUCUUCCUCACCAACAACCUAGUUCCCAUCUUGCUAGCUAAUAUGUACUACUACCUUUUCCUAAGACAUGAUAAGAGAUUAGGAAUGGUUUUUUGUUAGAAAUCCGAAUCUAGAUCUCCCCCCCCGGGUGUAGUGAAAAGAUCACUAGUUAAAAAAUUUGACAAAAGAUUAUUUUGAAAAGUUUAUGGCAAGUGGAAGUAACCCGGAUCGAAUAGUCUAACCGAACCUCUAUCGAAAAGCUCAGAUAAGUGUUAAUGCUAUCAAUGCAUGAAAAUUAACUCAAAUUAAUCAAAGACUUUUAAUCAUUAUGAAUUGAAUGCUUAUGCUACAAGUAAAGUCUAUUCCCAAUGAUCAAUCACAAAAAAAAUCUAUUGAGACAAAUUAUCGAACACCUUGUGUGCAGUGAAUUUUGUUUAGAUAUUUAUAUGUUUUUUAUCUUAAAAUUCAAAUACAAUCAAAAGGAUUGUGAUCAACUCAACUAAGCCUCUUUCAAAAGGUAAUAAAAUAUAUUUUCCAAACAUAAUGAUCGCACGACCAAUGAAUUCAAUAAUUUACAAACGAAAAAUAAAAGAGAUAGAGAGGGUACACAAGGAUUUAUUUAGGUAGUUCCCCAAUCGACCUCGCCAUGGGUUCGUCUGCCCUCAAUUUAAACUCGAAUUAAGAUAAUGAAAUUAACCUUACUUUACAAAAGUAUGUAUACAAGAGAGAUUUCACAAUCCAACCCUACAAACCCUAAGUUUUAUGUUGAUUCUGACACAUUUUCUUCCCUUGAUCAAGUAACCCAACAAUGCUGAUUUGAUUCAUCGUCUCAUGCUAAUUCUUUGCAAGAAAUCACUUGUUCUUCAAAUAUUUCACUUGCUCAAAUCAAAACUGUGAAUUAUUGUAACCUAAUAUUUACCAAUAUGGUCCACUAUCCCGCGCUACUCCUUUGCAAGAACCUUCCGUUCUUUAAAGCCUUCACUCUAUCAGAUCCAAACUGCAUAAUCUUGUCCAAAACCUUAAAAUCCCAUAUUAAUCUUGAAGGAAAACCCCGCCUUGGUUUUAUUAUUUGAAACCCUCAAAUAUCUCAACCCAAUUUACAAUUCAAUUAACCUAAAUUGGAUGUUAUCAACCCUAAUUAUAGAUGACACACAAACAAAGAAUGAUUUUGUGUAGUUUGUUUGUGUGUAUGCAUAAAAUGAGGUUGAAAGUUAUGAGAAUAUUUUGAAAUCCUUGUUUCAUGUAGGUUUACUCUAGAACUUUACUAUAAAUGAUUCAUAUAUGAAGUAUUUUCUGCAUGCAUUUUUGUAGGCAAAAGGAAUGCACAAGAUUUGAAAAAGUUGUGAAUUUUUAGAAAAAUACGUUGCAUGAGCCGACAUGUUCAAAGCAUGCAUCGACCUGUAUAGGUCAUGUGUCGACCUAUAGAGGUGGCACAACAUAAUCUACAUGCUUUAAAAAUGCAGUACAUGUGCUGACCUGAAAAACGGAUGUGUCGACACAUAGAAUUUUUCUUCUUCUAUGUGUCGACCUGAAACGUGUAUGUGUCGACACAUAGGCUAUUUUGCCCAUAAAACUUGUUUGUGAUGCAUUUUGAUGCAUGAAACCUUUUCCAACUCUUUUUCAAAUGUUUUUAUGCUUCAUAAUGCUAAGAUGCACAUUGAGAAUCAAAUGAUAUCGUCCAAUAUAUUUUAACGCUAAAGUAUCAUAGUUUUAACAUCAUGCAAAAUACAUCUAACAUAAAUUUAUACUCACAUACUCCCCAUUUUUUAUGAUGGAAAAACUUGAGACAAUGUGUUUCAUGUCUUCAUGAAUGCUCCCCCUGAAUGUAUGCAUCCCAGCUUCACUUGUAAAUACUUCUCCCUCAUUGACAACAUCAAAAAGAGACAAAUCAACCCAUGAGAAGUAAAUUAUAUCACACAUAAACCAAUAUAACACAAAGAGGCAUUUGAAAAGAUACAAUCAUCAAUACCACAACACUCACAUAGAAUGAUAUACAUACUGAAAAAUAAUGCCAAAACAUAAAUACAACUAUUUAAAGCAACACUAUAACUUGGUUGCCACAACUUAUACCAAAUAACAUAUACAAUAAACAUGAAAUAUGAAUGAUACAAUGUAAUAAAAAACUCUUGAGUUGCUACAAAAGUGACAAGAUUAUGUGACAUAUGCCUUUUGUGCUUCCGAAAUGUUGCACACACAUGCGCUCUAGCAAGGCGAUAUAUAGAUUUACUACCACUCAAACAAAAAAAAGAUGGGCAUUUUGCAAGAGUUGGUUCCUCAAUUACCUUCCGUCAACAAGAUUGACUUUGGGGAAGAACAUGGGAAUCUCCUUAGCCUUUUAAGUAAAGAAGUAGAUCCACUAGCAGUCUUGACCCUGGAUAAGUUCUAUGACCCUCCAUUGAGGUGCUUCACUUUCCAAGAUUUCCAAAUAGCUCCCACAUUAAAAGAAUUUGAGUAUAUUGUGGGUAUCAACAUGAAGAACAAGCUUCCUUUCUUUGGUUCAAAAGAACUUCCUAAGCAUAAGGUUAUAACUUCUUUUUUACACAUACACAAGAGAGAUGUAACCCCUAACUUGGUGACCAAGGGAAAUACCCAUGGUUUGUAAAUCAAGUUCUUAGUAGAGAAAGCUUAUGUCUUUGUUGAUGCCAAGAAUUGUGAGGUCUGCAAUGACGUUCUAGAUCUAUCUAUCUAUGGGAUCAUUUUGUUCCUAACCAUUGACGAUUUCAUAGACAUGACAACCAUUUGCAUCUUCCUCACCAAGAACCCAGUUCCCACCAUGAUAACUAAUGUGUGCUACUACCUCAGCCUAAGACAUGAGAAGAGAGUAUAAAUGGGUUUUGUUAGACGAUACACUUAGAUAUAGAGGGGGUGAAUAUAUCACUAGUUGAAAACUUUGAAAACAAAUCAUUUUGAAAAGUUUAUUGCAAGCGGAAGUAACCCAAAUCGAGUUUUCUAACCGAACCUCUAUCAAAAAGCUCGUAUAUGCGUUAAUGAUAUCAAUGUAUAUAAUGAACACAAAUUGAUCAAAUGCGUUUAAUCAUAACCAAUUGAAUUCUUGUGCUACAAGUAAAGUUUAUUCCCAAUGAUCAAUCACACAAAAAAUUUAUUGAGAAAAAUUAUCGAACACCUUGUGUGCAAUCGAUUUUGUUUGGAAACUUAUAUGGGUUUGCUGAUCUUAAAAUUCAAUCAAAAUAUAAAGGAUUAUGAUUAACUCAACAAAGCCUCUUUCAAAAGGAAAUCAAAAAUAUUUUUCAAACUUAAUGAUCACACGAUCGAUGAAUUCAAUAAUUCGCAAACGGAAAAUAAAAGAGAUAGAGAGGAAGAGGGAGUACACAAGGAUUUGUUUAGGCAGUUCCCCAGUCGACUUCACUAUGGGUAUGCAUGCCCUCAAUUCGAACUCGAAUUUAGAUAAUAAAAUUAACCUUACUUUGCAAAAGUAUGUAUACAAGAGAGAUGUAGCAAUCCAACCCGACACACCCUAAGUUUGAUGUUGAUUAUGACACCUUCUCUUCCAUUGCUAAAAGCUUGAUCAAGUAACCCAACAAUGUUGAUUUGAUUCACUGUCUCAUGCUAUUUAUUUGCAAGAAACCCCUUAUUCUUUAAAGCUUUCACUCGAUCAAAUACAAACUGAGAUUUCUUGUAACCCAAGAUUUACCAUUAUGAUCUACCUUCCCACACUACUCCUUUGCAAGAACCUUAUGUUCUUCAAAGCCUUCACUCGAUCGAAUCCAAAUUACAUAAUAUUGUUCAAAACCUUCAAAUUCAAAAUUGAUCUUGAAGGAAAACACCACCUUGGUUUUCUUAUUUUAAACCCUCAAAGAUCUCAACCCAAUUUACAUUUAAAUCAACCUAAAUUGGACGUUCUCAACCCUAAUUCUAGAUGGCACCCAAACAAAGAAUGAUUAUGUGUAGUUUGUUUGUGUGUAUGCAUAAAAUGAGGUUGAAGAUGAUGAGAACACUUUGAAAUCCUGAUUUCAUGCAGGUUUACUCUAAAACCUUACUAGAAACGAUGCAUGUAUGGAAUAUUUAUAUGCAUGCAUGUUUGGGGGCAAAAGAAAUGCAAAAGACUUGAAAAAGCUGUGAAUUUUUGGAAAAAUACAUUGCAUGAGCCGACCUGUUCGAAGCAUGUGUCGACCUGUAUAGGUCAUUUAUCGACUUGUAGACGUGGCACAUCUAACAAAAUCUAGUGGCUUUAAAAAAUGCAGUACAUGUGCCGACCUAAAAAAUGGAUGAGUCGACACAUUGAAAAAAGUUUCUUCUAUGUGUCGACCUGAAACAUGUAUAUGUCAACACAUAGGUUAUUUCCCCAUAAAACUUGUUUUUGAUGCAUGAAACCUUUUCCAACUUAUUUCCAAAUGUUUUUAUGUUUCCUAAUGCUAAGACACACAUUGAGAAUCAGAGGACGGUAUCCUAAUUUUGAUAUCAUUAAAAGGUUUCCAAAUGUUUUGACGCUAAAGUAUCCUAGUUUUGACAUCAUUAAAAGUACAUCUAACGGAAAUUUGCACUCACAUACUCUCCUUUUUUUAUGAUGGAAAAACUUGAGACAAUGUGUUUCAUAUCUUCAUGAAGGCUCCCCCUGAAUGUAUGCAUCCUAACUUCAUCUUGCAGAUGCUUCUCCCCCUUUAGAAAAAUCAAAAAGAGACAAAGUAAUCCAUGAGAAGUAUCUUACAUCACACAUAAACCAAUAUAACACACAAAGGCAUUUGCAAAGAUAAGAUCAUCAAUACCAUAAUACUCACAUAUAUUGAUGUGCAUAUUGAAAAAUAAUGCCUAAACAUAAAUACAAGCAUUUAAAGCAACAAUAUAACAUGGUUGCCACAACUUAUUCCAUAUAACAUAUAGAAUAAACAUAAAAUAUGAAGGAUAUAGUGUAAUAAAAAACUUUUGAGUUGCUACAAAAGUGACACGAUUACUUGACACGUGCCUUUGGUGCUCCCAAAAUAUUGCACACGCAUAUGCUCUAGCAAGGCGACAUAUAGAUUUACCAUCACUCAAACCAAAAACAGAGAUGUUAUCAUAACAAUGACACACUACAAGAAUUUUGCUAACAUUAUACAUGUUCAAACAUAUUUCAUGUCGGAAUAAAUAACAAUCAUAUGCACCAAGAACACAUUUCAAGUAUGAAGGAAGAAUUACACAGAGUCACUAUAAGCAUAUAUAUUGACAUUCAUCAAUAGAAAUUUUUAGAAGUGAACAUUCAUAUACUAUUUCAUACAUCAAGAAUAUCAAUAAUUUGGAGCAUAAACAACAUGCAAAAGUAAAAUCUUACUUUCAAAGAGGGAAAAUGGAACAACAUUACAUCGCUUAUGAAUUGAUGAGAGAUGCACUCAUAUGUGAUUGAAAUUCCAAGGAAAGUUAAAGGAAAAGUAUAUAAAGUGCAUGCAACAAAUCAUAUUUAGGCAAGAUUUGAAAUAUCAAGUAUCCCCAAUUCCCUUCAAAUGUUGAGAUACAGUUCGGUCGCAAGAGGUUUUUUAAAGAUAUUCGCAAGUUGAUUUUUGCUAUCAACAUACUCAAAUACGACAUCUCCUUUUUCAACGUGGUCACGUAGAAAGUGGUGAUGGAUCUCAAUAUGCUUAGUGCGAGAGUGUAAUACUAGAUUUUUGGUUAGAUUAAUAGCACUAGAGUUAUUGCACAUAAUAGGAAUAUGUUGUAGUUUAAUAUCAAAAUCAAGUAGUUGUUGUUUGAGCCACAAAAUUUGAGCACAACAACUACCAGCUGCUAUGUAUUCUGCCUUGGCAGUUGACAAAGCAAUCAAUACCUGUUUCUUGAUAUGCCAACUUACUAAGGAGUUUGAAAACACGUGGCAAGUUUCACUAGUACUUUUCUUAUCCGAUUUGCAACCGGAAAAAUCCGAAUCGGUGUAACCAACCAAAUUACAAUCACUUCCCAUGGAAUACCAAAGCCCAUACUUAGAAGUACCAUGACGAUAUCUAAGAAUAUGUUUUACGACUUUUAAAUAUGAUUUCUUCGGAGCCGAUUGAUAACGAGCACACAUACAUACGCUAAACAUAACGUCUGGCCUAGAUGCAAUAAGAUAUAUAAGAGAACCAAUCAUACCUCUAUACUUCUUGACAUCAAUCCUUACCAUUUUCAUUCUUUUCUAAGUUUCUAUUUGUGGGCAUCAGAGUGUCAAUCGAUUUUGCAUCUUCCAUGCCAAAUCUCUUUAGCAAGUUAUUGCAAUAUUCGUUUUGACAAACAAAUGUCCCUUUGUUGAGUUGCUUGAUUUGAAGACCAAGGAAGUAAUUCAACUCCCCCAUGAGACUCAUCUCAAACUCACCCUACUUAAGCUUAGAAAACUCCUUUACAAGUUGCAUGUUAGUGAAACCAAAAAUGAUAUCAUCAACAUAAAGUUGAACUAGAAGAAUAUGUUUUCCUUGACGCUUAAUGAGAAGUGUAAUAUCUACCUUUCCCCUAUAGUAUUUUUGAUCGAUUAUAAACUUACUAAGUCGCUUAUACCAAGCUCUAGGGGCUUGUUUGAGGCCAUACAAAGCUCGUUUUAGUUUGUAAACAUGAUUAGGAUACUCGUGAUUUUCAAAACCAGGAGGUUGAGAAACAUACACUUCCUCAUUAAUAUAGCCAUUAAGAAACGCAAUUUUCACACCCAUUUGAAAUAACUUGAAAUUUUUGGAGCAAGCAUAAGCUAGUAGAAGGCGUAUAGCCUCGAGGAGAGAAACUAGAGCAUAAGUUUCUUCAUAGCCAAUGCCCUCAUCUUAGUUAUAACCUUGAGCCACUAGCCAGGCUUUGUUUCGGGUUAUCACUCCGUUUUCAUCGAGUUUGUUUCUAAAAACCCAUAUAGUGUCAAUUACUUGAUGAUUUAUCGGAUGAUGGACAAGGUUCCAAACAUCAUUUAUUUUAAACUAGUUAGGAGAUGUUUGAGAGAGAAGUGGAGGUAGGAGAUGAAUAUGGAGGGAUUGGAAUGAGAUAGAAAAUUUGUAAAGGUAAUGAUUUAUGAUAUAAUUGGUGUUUAAGGGGAUUUGAUGAGAUAUGAUGAAGGUUGGUUGGGUAAUGAAUGAUAAGUGGGCCCAAGGUGAGAGAAGUUGGAGAGUUGAAAUUCAAACCCUUCUUUUUUUUAAAAUUCUGCAUUUCCCCCUGCAAACCUGUUACGGGCCGUAGCCACUACUACAGGCGCCCGUAGUAGGCUUUUGUCUUGCCAUCAUGUUCUCAGGUCCUGCCUACUACAGGCUGUAGCAUCUGCUACGGGCGCCCAUAGUAAGUUUCUGUUUUAUGCUAGAAUUUGGAGGGUCUGUCUGCUACGAGCCAUAGCAUCUGCUACAGGCACCCGUAGUCGGCCUCUGAUACUUCCUCCAAAUCUUGUUUUUCUUGAUCGUAUGGUUUUUUAUUUCGGGUACCAUUCUUUGUAUCGACUUUUCUUCAAUUGAAUGUAUCUCCUUUUGUCUCCCUAUGUUAAGAGACUAUAUAUCACCUGACUAAGAAACAAAAUAAAUAACAAAAAAUGAAAAAUCACCAGUAAGUAAAAGCGUGGGUUGCCUCCCACGAAGCGUUUCGUUUAACGUCGCAUGGCUCGACGGUUCACCACACUAUCUGUGUAGAUGAACAUUCUCCACCAGGCCAAUUCCUUGUCCUUGGUGAUAAGGCUUCACUUUCUUUCUUGUGGCUUUUGGUAUGGAAACAAGAAUUUUUCCAUUCGGAGUUGCUAAUGAAGGUGGUAGCAGUUGAGAAGGCCUUCUUGAGUUUUUUUCUUCUGAUGUUGGUAUGUUACUUUGGCUUUUCACAUAUGUCUUGAUCAUGCCUACUUGAUAGUGAUUUUCUUUUUCUGUCUCUAGCUUCCUGUUUUCAAUAACAUUCAAGGUUAUUUCAUCAUCAUAAACUUUUAAAGUUAAUGUGACCUGGUCUAUGUCGAAAUUGCAUCGACUUGUCUGCAUGAAUGGUCGACCAAGAAUGAUAGGUGUCUCUUCAUCCUACGGUAUGUCUAUGAUCAUAAAAUCAAUAGGAAAACUAAAUUCCUCUAUUGUCACCAGUACGUCUUCCACUAUCCCAUAUGCAUUCUUUAUGGAGUGAUCUGCAAACUUCAGAUUUGUCCUUGUAUCACUGAAAUUUCCAAUACCAAGCCUUUGGUAGAUUGACAGUGGCAUCAGACUCACACUAGAUCCAUAAUCAAUUAGUACCUUCUUAAAAGUUCUGUCCUUUAUAGUGCAUGGGACUGUGACCGCUCCAGGAUCCUUCUGCUUGUUUGGGAUUCUCCUACCGUGUGAUAUUGCACUGCAGUUUGCAUUCAAGGCUAUCGACCCAUCUUCUAUUGGUCUCUUUUCAGCGAUUACCUCUUUCAUGAACUUUGUGUACAUGGGCAUUUGCUCGAGUGCUUCAAAAAAUAGCAUAUUAUUCUCUAUCUUUUUGAACAUUGUGAUGAAUUUCUCAAAGACUGUCUCUCUUGGAUCCUUCUUUGUCACUCUCUCAGGGUAGGGUAACUUAAUCACAGGCUUAGCCUCAUUUUUAUUUUUAUUUUCAAUUGGCUUUACUGGUGGUAUAACUUCUUCAUCUUUAGCAUCUUUCUAACUUCUCUUCGUGACAACAUUGACAUUCUCAUGAUUUCUUGGGUUUUGUACUGUUUCACUUGGUAAGGAACCUUGUAUUUGAGAACCUGCUAUUUGUUGUGCUAUUUGACCCAUAUGAACUUCAAGAUUUUUGAUGGAAGCAGCCGUGUUCCUUUGAUUAUUUCUUGUUUCUUCUUGGAAUUGGGAAUUUUGAGUUGCCAUCUUUUUAAUGGCAAGUUCCCAAUCGGCCUUUUUGGGUGCUUGUUACUAAUAUUGUUGUUGUUGUUAUGGGUACUAUUAUUAAAUGGGACCCUACUUUUGAAUAUUCCCUUGCCAAUCUUUCCAGGAACAUUUUGGAUGAUUCUUCCACCCUGGAUUAUAAGUGUUAGAAUAAGGGUUGUUCUACUUCUAAAAUUUUAUCUCUUCAAUUUGUUGAGCGGCUGCAACACAGUAUACAGUCAAAUGAGGUUCUGCAUAAAUUUCACAAUUUACAUUCUAGACUGGCUGAAUUUGAGCUACCUGCUGUGUACCAAUAUUCAUAGCCUUUAGUUUCGUCUAUACCUCUGCAGCAACUAUUUCUUAUAUCCUUAUUUUAUUUGUUUCAAGCUUCAGAUUAAUAACUCUUUCAGGUUUGCUUGAACACCUAUCAUAUAACUCCAAAUGCUCAUUUGUAGCUAUUGUCUCAAUGGUCUUUUUAAUACUUGCGGACGUUAAAAAGUUUUAUGAGCCACCGACUGCAGUAUCAAUCAAUUGUUUUGUUUUCAGUCAAAGACCAUUGACAAACAUCUGCAUUUGCUCCGUCUGAUCCAAGUUGUGUGUAGGACAAGCAACAAGUAUCCUUUUGAAUCGUUUGUAUGAAUUACAAGUGAUUUUCACCUUCUUUUUGUUUGAAGUUCAUGAUGUCGUAUCUUUUCCUGUGGAAAACUGAAUUUGGAAAAUACUCAUUCAGAAAAGUGGUUUCCAUUUGUUCUCAGGUGGUAAUACUCCUAGCAGGUAAUGAGUAGAACCAUUCUUCUGCAUCUUCAGAUGGGGUGAAAGGGAACAUUCGUAGCUUCUUUUCCUCUUCAGUGUGCCCCUCUAUCUUGAGAGUGGUGCUCAUAGUCAGAAACCUUUGUAAAUGCUUAUUUUCAUCUUCGUUGGUUUUUCCCAAAAAAGGUAUCCUCUCAAGUUGAUUAAUAAUGCUGGGAUGCAGCUGAAAGUUUGGCACAUUCACUGGUUGGUUCACCAUUGUUAGCAUACCUCCCGGUGCAUUUGAAAUCCCAUAGUCACCUAACGUUCUUUCUGGUGGUGGUGGAUUUUCACCCAUUGUUUCGACCUCUCUUUCUGGCUCUCUUUCCGCCUCUGAAUCUGGCUCUGAAUGAACAGCUGGUUGUUCUUUGUCUGAUUCCAAUUUUACUAAUCUAGCUUGUCUGAGUCUUGCACACAAAGUUCUUUCAAUUUCUGCAUUAAAAGGAAAAUCAAUUGAGGCCUUACCUCGCAUAAAAAUAUCAGAGACAAAUUAAUUGAUAAAGUUCGAAAUAAAUGAAAUAACAGAAAUUAAAUUUUAGUUGCAGAGCAACAAAAUUUUAACUGAACUCUAUAUUUUAGCAGUCCCCGACAACGGCGCCAAAAACUUGAUCGGAAAAAUAGUAAGUGUACUAUUUUUCCUUUGUAGUAAUAAUGAGGAAAAUUCCCCGAAUGUCGAUCUCAAGGACUGCGCAUAAAUAUUUAGUUCUAAUUUUUGUUCAAGUAAACAAAAACUAAUGUUAGGGGUUUUUGAUCAAAUAUAUAAAAAUAAUUGCAAAUAAAAUAAAUAGUGCUGAGAAUGGGUUUAAAAGAUAGAGUAAUAUGCUAUGGAAUGUGUGUGAUUUAUCCCUGUAAUAACUAUGAGUCACUAUUGCAACAACAAAUAUCAAUUAAUUAGCACCACUUCUCAAGGGUGUUUUCUCCUAAUGCCUUAGUGAGAAAACCUUUAAUCAUUCAUACCUAAUCUCUAUGUCCAUAGAAAUUAACCGGUGAAAUUAAGCAAUAUUAUAUCGAGAACAAUUUGGUUCCUACAGGGUAUCCCUAGUCCUAGGUAAUAUCUAAUGUAGAAAAAUAUCAUGAAAGAAUUAUCAAAGGCGGUCCAACCUAAUUGAUAAUCAUAUAAAAAUCCUAAUUAUUCCAAAAGAGAAAGUGUUAAGUACAUCACAAGACUAAACUAACUAUGAAAACAAUACUGUUAUUGCAAAUAUAAACUCAAAGUCAUUACAGAUUCAAAUCAGGGACACCCCCUAGCAUUGGGGGGCUUAGCUACUCAUAGUAUUCAAGAAAAUCAGAAUAUAAAAUAGAGACAUUAAAGUGGAGUCUCGUUUCUACCAAAACCUUGAUUUCUCUAAUUUUGAAUCGUGUGAAUUCUUUCGUCCCCAAAAAAGUGUCAUUUCUUGUCUGAAAACUCCCCUUUUAAUAGAAAAGUCUUCUCUCUCCUCAAACAGAUCCACAAAAGUCCAUCACAUCAGCUUUCUAAUUGACCAAAAUGCCCUUCACUUAAGAAUCACACUUAAAAAUGAUGAAGCAAUAAAAUUGACUAUCGGGGAUAGUAAUUGACUAAACAAACCACUAACCAUGAACGAAGUAAUACAGUUUACCUGGAUUUUUUAUGAAUAAGUGACAAAUUAUAUAGCAUAAAUGGUGACUGAUCAAUCAUUUUAUUCCCAAACAUUGACAAUUUCAUAGACAUGACAACCAUCUACAUCUUCCUCACCAAGAACCCAGUUCCCACCUUGCUAGCUAAUAUGUACUACUACCUCAUCCUAACACAUGAGAAGAGAGGAUGAAUGAUUUUUGUUAGACGAUAGACUUAGAUCUAGAGAUGGGUGAGUAAAUCACUAGUUAAAAACUUUGACAAAAAAUGUUUUGAAAAGUUUAUGGCAAACAGAAGUAACCCGGAUCAAAUCGUAUAACCAAACCUCUAUCGAAAAGCUCAAAUAUGAGUUAAUUCUAUUAAUGUAAGAUAAUGGACACAAAUUGAUCAAAGGCUUUGAAUCACCACUAAUUGAAUGCUUGUGCUGCAAGCAAAGUCUAUUCCCAAUGAUCAAUCAUAUAAAAAUUCUAUUGAGAAAAAUUAUCGAACACCUUAUGUGCAAUCGGAUUUGUUUAGAAAUUUAUAUGGUUUUGUUGAUCUUAAAAUCCAACCAUAAUCUAAAGGAUUGUGAUCAACUCAACAAAGCCUCUUUCAAAAUGUAAUAAAAAAUGUUUUUCAAAUGUAAUGAUCGCACGAUCGAUGAAUUCAACAAUUUGCAAACGAAAAAUCAAAGUGAUAGAGAGGGAGAGAGAGUACACAAGGGUUUGUUUAGGUAGUCCCCUAAUCGACCUCUCUAUGGGUACGUUUACCCUUAAUUCAAACUCGAAUUGAGAUAAUGAAAUUAACCUUACUUUGCAAAAGUAUGUAUACAAGAGAGAUGUAACAAUCUAACCCUACAAACCCUAAGUUUGAUGUUGAUUAUGACACCUUAUCUUCCCUUAAUCAAACCUUGAUCAAGUAACCCAAUAAUUCCAAUUUGAUUCACUAUCUCACGCUACUUAUUUGCAAUGAACCCCUUGUUCUUAAAAGCUUUCACUCGAUCAAAUCCAAAUCGUGAAUUAUUAUAACCCAAGAUUUACCAAUAUGAUCCACCGUCCCACACUUCUCCUUAGCAUGAACCUUCCGUUCUUCAAAGCCUUCACUCGAUCAUAUUCAAAUUGUGUAAUCUUGUCCAAAACCUUCAACUCCCAAAUUAAUCUUGAAGUAAAAUCCCACCUUGGUUUUCUUAUUUGAAACCCUCAAAGAUAUCAACCCAAUUUACAAUUCAAUCAACCUAAAUUGGACAUUAUCAAUCCUAAUUCUAGAUGGCACCUAAACAAAGAAUGAUUAUGUGUAGUUUAUUUAUGUGUAUGCAUAAAAUGAGGUUGAAGAUGAUGGGAACACUUUGAAAUUCUGAUUUCAUAUAGGUUUACUCUAGAACCUUACUAGAAAUAAUGUACGCAUGAAGUGUUUAUAUGCAUGCAUGUUUGGAGGGAAAAGGAAAGUAAAAAAUUUGAAAAAGUUAUGAAUUUUUAGAAAAGUAUGUUGCAUGAGCCUACCUGUGUAAGUCAUGAGUUGACUUGUAUAGGUCAUGCAUCGACCUGUAUAACUCAUGUAUCGACCUAUAGAGGCAAAACAUCUACCAGAAGCUACAUGGUUUAAAAAUCCAGUACAUCUGCCGACCUGAAAAAUGGAUGUGUCGACAUAGAGAAAAUAGCUUCUUCUAUGUGUCGACCUGUAACAUGUAUGUGUCGACACAUAGGUUAUUUGUCCCAUAAAACUUAUCUUUGAUGCAAUUUUUAUACAUGAAACCUUUUCCAACUUAUUCACAAAUGUUUUUAUGCUUCCUAAUGUUAAGAUUCACAUUGAGAAUCAGAGGAUACCGUCUAAUAUACAUUAACACUAAAGUAUCCUAGUUUUGACAUUAUGCAAAAUAAAUCUAACAAAAAGUUGCACUCACAUUUUAUGUUGCACUCUUUUGUUUCACAAAUGGUUGUUAACUCAUCUUUUGAAAAAAAGACCUUUUGUGGAACAACAAGACAAUCUCAAUUGGCCUCAAAGGAUGGUAUCCCUCCAAGCAGAUGAUAUCUCUUGGUAUUCAUGAGAGUAUGAUGAUAUUGAGAUCAUCUUCAGUUGUAGAGACUUCCCUAACAUACCUCUCAUUGGGGCUCAAGGGUGCAUCAACUCUAACCCAGACUUAUCUUUAAGGAAGCUCGGGUUCCUAAUGGAGAUCCCACCCAAGGACAAUAUGUUGGAAGGUUUCAUCCUACAUGACAUAUGGGAUGAGAACUCAACUAUGUUCAAUAGAAUCAAGAAAUUAUGGGAAAGAAUCAGUAGAAAAUGGAAGAAUGAGCUUGGAAAGAAAGGGUGCAACAAAUCAAGUUACCCUUCAUCACCGAGGUCCCUAUUCCACCUCCAGGUCCUAAGCCUACCCAUGUUCCCAUAGAGGAAGUCGAGGAACUCAAUGCUACUAUCUCUAAACUUGAGAAGGAAAAUGAAGAGUUACAUUUGAGGCUCAUUCAGGUUACCCACGAGAGAAAUAAGCUCAACUUUAAUCUCAAGCAAAGGGAAAAGAAGCUUGGAAAAAGUGAGUAAACAUUUGAAGAUGAGAGGAAAAAGAGAAAAAGAGUCCGUCCCUGCCUGACAGGGGAAGGACUUGAUCUUAGUCAAUGACACCAAGAGCUUAGAGAAGCCAAAAAAAUGGUGAACGGAAGAACCUUUGGGAAAGGACCUUGAUAAGCCAAAAAGAAAUGAGGGAAGGAUUUGAAACUUGAAUAUAGGAACUCACUAAAUUUCUUAAGGAGUCCCAAGCCCAGGCAUCGUAUGAAAGACAUUUACGAGGAGAAAUUGAGCGAGCAUCCCCAAACUCUCAUGCCAACCUGAAGAAGGUCCUAGAAGAGUUGAGGAACCUCAAGGACUAUAAUCUACGCUUGAAAGAAGAUGAUGAGAUUUUGAGAAAUAAGGGUAGAUAAUGGGGAGCAAGGGUUUAACAUCUGGAGGGUCAUGUAUAACGAGACCAAUACACUAUCCAAUAUAUCUGUAUAAAAUACGUAUGUGGUAUGGGAAAUGUGUCCAAGUGUUUGAACUCGCCAACAAUCUCCGUGAGACAUGCCUUUGAAGUUAAGGGAUGCAUUUGAGGAUAUGACACCUGAGAAAACUCCUCUGGCUGUCUUUGACUUUAUCAUCUUUUGUAUACUCGUGAUCAAAGAUCUUCAAGCCAAAUUAGAGCUACUUAAUGAAUCAAAAUCUCAUUUGCAAUUUUUAUUUUCUUUAUCACUCUUACGCUUCUGAAUGCUUAACAACUGACGAAUCCAAAGAUUCCUCAAAAAUAAAAUAAAAAACAUAAAAGAAUUUUGCAUACAUCAAUAUAAACCAACAUUUACAUGCAUUUCAUUUUUCAAAAUAAAAAACUCAUACCCUUUCUCCAUCUUCUUUGGAAUCAAACCUGGCUUCCCGACAUCGUUACGAAACACGAAAUAAAUAUCAACGCACGAUGGAACAAGUUGAAUUGAACCAGGAGGCAAUGGGAGAAUAUAUGAAUGUUAUAAAGAGAAAUAUGGAUCAACUCUUGGAGGCCAUGUUGGCUCUUACAAGGAAGGAAGACAACCCACAGGUGGUUACGAAUGCUAGGAACAUUGCAUCCCAGCUUGGAUCCUCUUCGCUCCGGAUUCCCGAGGGGGUUGAUCCUGAAUUUAGGCUUCCCCAGGGAUACACUACUCUUGAAGGAGUUGUUGCUCCAACACAUGUCAGAAUCCCGAUAGUGAACUUGGCUUCUCAAGAGUACUCUAUUGCUUCAGCGAUACAUGGAUCUCAGUAUGAUGAAAAAGAUCCUCGGUAUGCCUAUUUCAUGUCGACUUAGGAAAUGCCUCAAAUGAUGCAUGUUCCUGAACCUUUGGUUAACCCUGCUAAUGAGAGGCUUCUGUCUGAACAAAAUUGGUCGAUACCAUAUCACUUGGGUUUUGAUGAUAACAAAGUAUUUAAAGAGAAGUUGGGUAUUCUAACAUUUGUUCAAGUAUGUAGGACUAAAUGAUUGAGAACAAAUGAAGAGAUGCUUGAGGAAUCUGAAUCUGAAGAUCAGAAUCUGGUUUAUGAAGAGUACUUCUAAAGACUCUGCCUCUGGUGGUGAUUUAGACUCUGAAGAAGUCAACUCUGAAGAAAGUUAGUCUCUAGUAACCCAGACUCUAAAGCUUCAGAAGCCAAGAAGUGGACUCUGACGUGAUCAACCUCUAAAGAGUGAAGUCUGAAGAAAGUCAGCCUUUGAAGCAGAAACUCUUCAAUCAAGGAAACUCUGACAGACUCAGAGACUUUUUGAUCAUGUGAAGACUUAAGGAAAAAUAUCUCUCUUAGUUGACAAAACUUCAAUGGAUAAUUCCUCUUGCAGAAAGGUGUUUUAUUGAUGUGUCUAGUCAAGUACAAAGCUAGCCCAACCUUUUGGUGAAAGUCUCUAAUGUGUCUUUUCACCGUCUAUAUAUAAGGAGCUGAAGGGUUAAAAAAGAAGAUUAUCAAGAUUCAAUACAACACACUUCUAUAGACUCUGAACAUUGACAUUCAAAGAGAAGCUACUCUGUCAAAUUUAAAAGACUUAGAACAUCUUAACAUUAUGUAGAUUUUAGAAGUUCUUAAGUCUUAGAGUUUUUCUAAGUUUUAUUAUGUCUACACCUCUGAUUGUAUAUCAAGUGUAGUUGUUACCCAAAUCUCUUAAUAGUUUGUUAUAGAGUCAUAAGUAUCUUGCUUUAGUGCUUGAGCAUUUGAAGUCUUUAGCUUGUGUGCUAGAGCAAGGAAGUCUCAGACUUGUGUGUUUGAGAAAGGAAGUCUUAUACUUGUGUGUGUAAGCAAAGAAGUCUCUUGCUUGUGUGCUCAAGCAUUUGUAAUCAGUUUGGUUAUAGUGGAAAUCCCAUGGAUGUACAAUGGGAUUAGACUACUCUCAAGUUGUAAGAGGAACCAAGAUAAUUUAUUGUGUCUCUUGCUUUACUUAACUUGCUUAUGUACUUAAAUAUUUUGUUUUUGUGAACUCUGAUCCUCUAAGUUAGAUUCUAGUUCAGAAUCUGAUAAGAUCUUUCAGAUGUCAAUAUAGUUUUCUAAGUCAAACUCUGAACCAAGUGUUCAGACUCUGGUUGAGAAACAUCAGAAGCUGAAGUUGAAAAAUUAAAUAAUAAUAAAAAUACAAUACAAUUCAACCCCCUUCUUGUGUUUUUCUCACCUUUAGUUGGCAUCAUAGCAAGGUUCGUGCUAAACAAUUAACAAUGGUGCAGAAAAGAUCUUGAGAAAAAUACUUAUUCUUCAUGGCUAAUGGAUUUGGAGGAUUUGGUCCUGGUGGGGGUUCUCCUAAUCAUUUUGGUAGGGUUAAUCAUGAUUAUAGUAACUAUGAGAGAAAUAAUUAUACUGCUAGACCUCCUACUUUUAGUGGAGAUUCCACUGAGUUUCAAUGGUGGAAAAGCAAAAUGUAUACUCACAUCAUAAGUCUUAAUGAUGAGUUAUGGGAAAUUUUGGAAGAUAGCUUAAAUAUCUAAGUCAAUGGUGUUGGAAUGGUGUCUGACAGAAAAUCACUCACACAUGAGCAGAAAAAGAUUUAUAGUAAACACCAUAGAGUAAGAGGCAUCUUGGUUGACGCUCGACCUCAUUCUGAGUAUAUCAAAAUUAUUGAUAAAUCUACUGCUCAUACCAUCUUCAAAUCCCUAUGUGUUACUUAUUAAGGGAAUCAACAAGUUCAAGAAGCCAAGGCUAACCUUAUGGUUCAAUAGUAUGAGUUGUUCAGAAUGAACGAAGAUUAAGCUAUUAAAAUCAUGUUUUCUAGGCUUCAAAUUCAUGUGUAUGGACUCUGGGUUCUGAACAAGAGUUAUACUACAUCUGAUAAUGUCAAGAAGAUCCUUAGGAGUCUUCCUAUCAGAUACAAACCCAAGGUAACAUCAAUCCAGGAGGCUAAAUAUUUAAACAAAUUAAGUCUUGAGAGUCUUAUUAGCAAUCUCUAGAGCCAUGAUAUGGAGCUUAAUGGAGAUGAGACUAUAAAGAAACCUAAAUCACUGGAUUUGAAGUCAGUGGUAGAGAAAUCUAGUGAUAAAACUGUUAGAUCCUCAAAAUACUAGAAACUAGAAGUAGCUUUUGUUGAAGAAGAUUCAGAUGAUAACUCUGAUGAUGAGGAAAUGGCCUUUAUCAUCAAGAGGUUUCAACAUAUGGAUAACAAGAAUAGGAUUUUCUCUGGCAGUAGAUCUGGCCUCAGAGGAACAAGCUCUAAAGUUAACAGAGCUGAUCAAAAAGGGUGCUUCAACUGUCAGAAGCCUGAUCAUUUAUAUAGCUGAUUGUCCAGAGCUUCAGAAGGACAAAGCUAAAAAAGGAAGCUUCUAAAAGAACAACUUCAUAAGCAAGUUCAAGAAAAGUAUCAUGGUAACAUGAGAUGAACUUGAUAAUGAAUAAAAAGAUGAUGAGAAUAAAGAAGAAGCCAAUCUAGCUUUGAUGGCUUCAACAUUCUCAGACUACGAAUCAGAAGUUGAUUCUAUAUUAGAUUCAGAGGAUGAAGAUGAUGUGAUUUAAUUACCUUUUGUCAAGAUCUUAUGGAUAGAUGUCAGUACAAAGCCAAACUCAUGAAAAUAUUGAAAAAUCAAUAUGAUCUUUUGAAAGAUGAAGUAAAAGCAUCUCAAAAGAAAACUUCAUUUAUUUAAAGAGAUCAUAUUGCUCAAGUAAAUAAAGUGUCUAAUAAACCCUUUAGUGAGCAUGAAAUGUCUCUUCAAGAAUUUAUCAUAACUGGCUUUGAAAAAACUAAACUUGCUUCCAUGAUCUAAUGGAGUAAGCAAGAGCAAAGGAGAAGGUAUUGUUUAUCAUAAAAAACCUUUUAAUCCAAGGAAUGAAACAUUGAUUAAACCAUUAGAUUCAUCUUUUUCAAGCUUUGCUCAAAAAGGGUUGUACUCUCAAUUUGUUCCUGUUAUUAAUGCUAAGGUUCUAAACCAAUCAUAACCUAUAAUUAUAGAGUCAGAGGUUCGGAAGAAACCAGAACCUGAGACCUUAAGGUCAAAAGGUCUGAAGAAAUUAGAACCAAUGAUUCUUAAGUCAAAUGUGCUAAAAGAAUCAGAACCUGGGAUCUCAUAGUUAAAGGUUCUGAAGAAGAUAGAACCUAAGACAUCUAGUUGCAAGGUUCUGAAAGGUCCAGAACCUAAUAACAAGGCUCAUUCAAGACAACAAACUUUUAGAUAUAAAGUCUUGAAUAAUCCAAAUCCUUAUUAUAGAGUAAAGGCUCAAAGUAAGUGGAAGACCAAUCGAAUUAACCUCAAAGGACCCAUAAGAGUAUGGGUACCAAAGAGUGAGAUUACUUUUGUUGGACAUAUGCUGAAAGGAAAGAACAAAGCAACAACUUCAGUUCCAGGACAAUUGUUGCUUACAAAUUAUAAUAGCAGAAAAGUCUAUGUUCCAAAUCCCAACUCAUAAGGAGGAAGAAAAUGUGGAGUCUGAAAUAAACUAGUAAGAAAAGAUCACUGGUACAUGGAAGACUAGAGCUGAUCAAUCAAAAGUUGGAACUUUAGAUGCUUAACCAAUCUAUGAAGUUUAUCUAGUUGGCAUGGGGUCUGAAACGACUCUUGAUGGUUAUCAGAAGAGCAUUGUUGGAACAAUGUAGUUCCUCAAGAACAAUCUCAAUAGAAGAUCAAAAGUUGCACAAAGAAAGGUAUGACUAUCUCUUUGUUUUUAUUCAACAGUUUCUAAUCCUAAUAUUUUAAUAUCAGUUAGCAGAACUUCAUAUUUAUGAAAGUAGAAUUAUACUUCACCGUGAUAAUGCUACUUCUAUCUGAGUUCUAGAGUAUUUUAUUCAAUCACAGAUUCAAACACUUUAAAAAUAUUUUAAAAACUUAUGUGCUUAACUCUGAUUAGAGAAUCAGAAUCUGAUGAUGAUCAUAAGCUAUUGCGAUCAGAAGCUCUAAACAAGCUUCCGGUGAAUAGUAGCCACUAAAGCAUCCCAGCCUCUGAAACUUUUAAUGAGAUCAACUGCCUCUGAUAUGUACACAAGUGGCCAAAACUUUUCAACUUCCUCUGGCACCUGUCCACUUACGUGUCAUGAAUCUGAAGUGUUAUUUGACACAUGAAUUGUAACUGCUGGAUAAAAACCUUCAGAUUAUGAUGAUUUGUCUUAGAUACUGUGCAUCCCGCCUCUUUUGCCUUUAAUUUUUUGUUAAAGAUUAUUUUUUUCACUCAAAACACUAUACUUAAUCAGAUGCACACACUUCACAUUCUCUCAUUUCCCUCACUUUUGUUCUCAAGCUUUCUCUGAAAAAUUACCCAUUUAAAAAAGAAACCCUAAGAACCCUAAAACCUCUUUUGUAAUAGCGUCAUCAUCUUCUCAACAAGCACCCACAAAUAUUGAUUAUGGUAAAAUUCUGUGAAUCAAACCUAAAACCAUAGAAAUCAAUAGAGGAUUUGAAGCUCAUUGUGGAGUAGAUUAUGGAUUUUGACUCCUUCAAUCUAAAUGGUUACUAUCUCAAGAGUUUCUUCAGAGUGGAAUAAUGGUCUUUAUUCUUUGAUAUGAUGAAUGGACUAACAUAUCCUCAUCUGGUCAGAUGUUUAUGGGCAAGAGCUGAAGUUUAUGGUGAACCUUUUGCUUCUAUGGAAGAAGAUCAGAUGGUGCUUAAAGAAAAAUCCUUGAAAGGGAAGAGAAGAAAGGAAAUGAGUCUGAAAGAUUUUGAAGAAAUGGAGAUUAGGUCAGUUGUGAUGGGUGUUGAGGUCACCAUCACAUAUAAGAUAAUUGCUAAGCUUCUUGGUGUGACAGAUACAAGAAGAUUCAGUCUGAACACCAAAGAAAGCAACCCAGAAGCUGCUGCUAUCAAAACAAGUCUAUUUGAGUUAUCAGAAAAUACAUCAACCUCUUCAUACUUUGGGAAGGUGAAGAACAUUAAGACUUAAUACAAGAUUUUGUUCAAGAUCCUCACUGGUUUUCUAAUCCCUAGAGAGGGAAUCACUGAUAAAAUCUCCUGGGACCAUAGACACUUCAUAUGGUACUUGGUCAAUGAAGAGAAUAACAAUCUCUCUGCUUACAUAUUACAUCAUAUUUGUGAGGCUAUCAAGGAAAGAAAAAAGCAUAUGAAGAAGCAUGUACCCUAUGCUAGUCUUCCAUUUGAAUUAUUUCAUCAGGGUCGUCUAAUUGACUCCCUAAAAGCUGCUUCUGCCUAUGAGGAUCUGGAGGAAACUCAUGGGAACAUUCUUUUUGUUUCUAUUUUUCCCAACAUAAAGCUUUUGAAGAAGAGUGAAGUGGUGUUAUAAAAAGAACCUCUCAGAGUCAGAAGUACAAAAUUUGACUAUCUUGAGGACUAUCCUAUGAUUACUAAACAUGAUAAUCCUUAGGUUGUACAUUUAGAUGGCAAGAUAAAAAGGUGGUGUGAUUAUAAGAUAUGAAUAUUUACGAGAAGAAACAACUAACUUGCAAAAACCUUCUAAGAAGAGAUAACAGGUGGCUUCUGAUACUCAGAAAAUCAUUCAGAAGCCUCAUAAGAAGAAGGUUGUGCAACAAAAGGAGAUUGAGAAGGAAAUUAAAGAGUGAGUUUCCUCCACUGUCUUGAUGCCCUCUAAGAUAAAAAGUGGAAGAACUCCUCAGGAGGUAUCUUCAUCUUCUGUCACAUCCGAUGCACCUAUGAAGAAGAGGAUGCUAAGGAAGAAGAUUAUUUCCUCUGAAGUUGAAGAGGAAAUUGAGAGAUCUUCGGUAAGAAGGACAAAGAUUAUAGAUGUUAGAGCUCAAAAGGUUGUAUAAGGAACUAUUUUCAAGGGAGCUUAACUGCUUGUAUCUGCUCUGAUAGAACAAGAGGAGAAACAACAUGCAACCUCUGAUGCUCAUUUGGAAGAAGUUGCCACUAGAGGAGAAAUUAUGAAGACUGGUGAAGUCAGAGUUGGUGAAGUCAUAGAUGGGUUGAAGUCUGCUACCAACCUUGCUUUGGAAGCUGUUGGUGAAGAAAAUGAAGCUACUCCAGAUGUUGUGAAGACUGAUAUGACAUGUAACAAUCAUAACUCUAUCUUUGAAGAUUGUUUUGAUUCCACUUUAAACCACACAUCACCAACUUUCUCACCAAAACCGUCACCCAAACCAUCUCCAGAACACACUUCGUCACCUGUUCAACAAUCAAAACCCGUGGUGGAGUCUCUUAACCCAACACUUAUCAUUCAUGUUCUAGAAAAUGCUAUAAAUCUAGUUGAAUCUGAACAUCCCGCUGGUGAAUUCACUGAUGAUCAGAAACACUUGAGAUACUUUUAUGACUCUGAAUAACCACCACCUUUUAACACCAUGCAUGUACCCCCCAUAGAUGUUUCUAGUGGGAAAGCUUCUUUUGGCUCUAAGUCAGAAACUGAAGAAGCUGAUUUUGUUGCGUCGCUAGAUCUUAAAUAUGUAACUCUCUCACUUGUAUUUAUCAUACCUCUCCAAGAUAUCCCUAUUUAAACCUUCACACAACAACUACAAACAGACCAAGCAUGUUUUGCUGAAACAAUGUCUGAAUAUAUUAACUUAUCUGAUCAAUUUGAAGCUCGUUAUGUAACCUUAGAUCAACCAAAACCUGAACCUUCACAAAAAACUCAACCUUCAACUGAACCCCAACCUACAUUUGAAUCCCAAACUCAUCCCUCACCUAAAAUUACACCCUAAACCUCACCUCAAUCUACACCUCAACCAAAACCUAGUCCUGUUCAGAAUCAAUCUGAAGUCCAAGUUACCUAUGAACCUCAUAUUGAGACUAAACAAGCUUAUUUGAACCAACCUCAACCUGAAACCCACCUUAAUCAAACUGUUCAAGAAGACUAACCAUUUGACCACCUCUCCCUCAAAAGAACAGAUGUUGUGUAAGAACCUUACACAAUAAUCCUAUCCAUUCGAUCACAAUCUGGAAAUCCACAAAUAUGAAUUCCACCUCCUCCACCUUAUAUCCAAACCCAAAUGGAAGAAAUCAAAAUUGUUUUCCUUGAUAGAGUUCAUAAUCUGGUUGCCGAGAGAACCACAGGUUCUGACCCAUUAACUUAUGCUGCUAAAUGGGAUUCUCUCACAACCUUUGAGGUAUCAGUUUUUCAGAAUCUGGAGUAUAUCUCCUAAAAGUCAGUUGCCUCUACCAGUAAGAGACAAGAGCUUAUGGAAGUAAAGUUGGCUUCUGUUGGUGCUAAUCAAGAAGCCAUGGCUAACAAGCAGAAAGAGAUGGAUGAUAGGAUGAAGGCUAUGGAUGCUAGACAAGAUGUCAUGGGUGCUAAUAUGAAAGAAAUUAUGAAGCUUCUAAAGUAGAAACCUUAGGCUCUAGUCACCCUAUAUUUUUAUCUUGUCUGAACAUUUGAAUCACAUAUUUUUUGGUUAAUGAAAAACUUUUCUCAGUAUCUUUUAUGUCCUUAUAUUUAUCUUUUUGUUGAUGACAAAAAGGGGAGAGAUAAAGAAUAUUUAAGCACCUGAAUCUGAUGAUCAUUCUACUACUGCUUAAUAUAGUUACUGAAGAUUAAUAUUAUUGUGCUAUUAAAGGAAUUUAAUUAACUGGAUAGGAAUUAGGGGGAGCUUACAAACCUCAUCCUAUGGAAUAUCAGAUCAUGAGGAGCUUACAAACCUAAGACCCUAAAGUCAACAUGAGGAAUCUGAAUCAGAAGAUCAUACUCAUCCCUACAUUUGAAUCCCAAACUCAUCCCUCACCUAAAAUUACACCCUAAACCUCACCUCAAUCUACACCUCAACCGGAACCUAGUCCUGUUCAAAAUCAAUUUGAAGUCCAAGUUACCUAUGAACCUCAUAUUGAGACUAAACAAGCUUAUUUGAACCGACCUCAACCUGAAACCCACCUUAAUCAAACUGUUCAAGAAGACCAACCAUUUGACCACCUCUCCCUUAAAAGAACAGAUGUUGUGUAAGAACCUUGCACAAUAAUCCUAUCCAUUCGAUCACAAUCUGGAAAUCCACAAAUAGGAAUUCCACCUCCUCCACCUUAUAUCCCAAACCCAAAUGGAAGAAAUCAAAAUUGUUUUCCUUGGUAGAGUUCAUAAUCUAGUUGCCGAGAGAACCACAGGUUCUGACCCAUUAACUUAUGCUGCUAAAUGGGAUUCUCUCACAACCUUUGAGGUAUCAGUUUUUCAGAAUCUGAACUAUAUCUCCUCAAAGUCUGUUGCCUCUACCAAUAAGAGACAAGAGCUUAUGGAAGUAAAGUUGGCUUCUGUUGGUGCUAAUCAAGAAGCCAUGGCUAACAAGCAGAAAGAGAUGGAUGAUAGGAUGAAGGCUAUGGAUGCUAGACAAGAUGUCAUGGGUGCUAAUAUGAAAGAUUAUGAAGCUUCUAAAGUAGAAACCUUAGGCUCUAGUCACCCUAUAUUUUUAUCUUGUCUGAACAUUUGAAUCACAUAUUUUUUGGUUAAUGAAAAACUUUUCUCAGUAUCUUUUAUGUCCUUUUAUUUAUAUUUUUGUUGAUGACAAAAAGGGGAGAGAUAAAGAAUAUUUAAGCACCUGAAUCUGAUGAUCAUUCUACUACUGCUUAAUAUAGUUACUGAAGAUUAAUAUUAUUGUGCUAUUAAAGGAAUUUAAUUAACUGGAUAGGAAUUAGGGGGAGCUUACAAACCUCACCCUAUGGAAUAUCAGAUCAUGAGGAGUUUACAAGCCUAAGACCCUAAAGUCAACAUGUUAAUUUAAUCAACAACCAUUGUUCUUGAAUACUAUUGUUUGUCAUCAUCAAAAAGUGGGAGAUUGUUGGAACAAAAUUGGUUGAUACCAUAUCCCUUGGGUUUUGAUAAUAAUAAAGUAUUUAAAUAACAAUUGGUUAUUCUAACAUUUUUUCAAGUAUACAUGACUAAAUGAUUGAGAACAAAAGAAGAGAUGCAUGAGGAAUCUGAAUCAGAAGAUCAGACUCUAUUUCUGAAGAGUAGUUCUGAAGACUCUUCCUCUGGUGGUGUUCCAGACUCUAAAGAAGUCAACUCUGAAGAAAGUCAGUCUCUAGUGACCCACUCUCUAAAGCUUCAGAAGCCAAGAAAUGGAAUUUGAUGUGAUCAACCUCUGAAGAGUGAAGUCUGAAUAAAGUCAACCGCUAAAGAAUAAAAUCUUCAACUGAGGAAACUCUAACAAACUCAAAUACUUUUUGAUUACGUGAAGACUUAAGGAAAAAUCUAUCUCUUGGUUGUCUGAGUUUCAACGGAUUAUUUCUCUUGUAGAAAGGUGCUUUGUUGACGUGUCUAAUCAAGUACAAAGCUAGCCCAACCUUUUGGUGAAAGUCUCCAAUCUCUCCUUUCUCCCUCAAUAUCUAAGGAGUUGAAGGGCUAAAGAAGAAGAUUACCAAGCUUCAAUAUAACACAGUGCUACAAACUCUAAACAUUGAAAUUCAAAGAAAAGCUACUAUGUCAAAUUUACAAGACUUAGAACAUCUUAACAUUGUGUAUAUUUAGAAGUUCUUAAGUCUUAGAGUAUUUCUAAGUUUUAUUUUGUCUACACCUUUAAUUGUAUUUCAAGUGUAGUUGUUAACCAAAUCUCUUAACAGUUUGUUAUAAAGUCAGAAGUCUCUUGCUUUAGUGCUUGAGCAUUUGAAGUCUUUAGAUUAUGUGCUAGAGCAAGGAAGUCUCAAACUUGUGUGUUUGAGCAAGGAAGUCUUGAGCUUGUGUGCUUGAGCAAGGAAGUAUUAUACUUAUGUGUGUAAGAAAAUAAGUCUCUUGCUUGUGUGCUUGAGGAUUUGUAAUCAAUUUGGUUAUAAUGGAAAACCCUUGGAAAUACAAGGGGACUGGACUACUCUCAAGUUGUGAUAGGAACCAAGAUAACUUCUUGUGUCUCUUGCUUUACUUUACUUGCUUAUGUACUUAAAUAUUUUUCUACUGUAAACUCCGAUCCUCUAAGUCAGAUUCUGGUUCAUAAUUUGAUAAGGUCUUUCAGAAGUCAAUCUAGUUUUCUAAUCCAGACUCUGAACCAAGUAUUUAAACUCUGGUUGAGAAACAUCAGAAGCAGAAGCUGAAAACACUUAAAAGACGAAAAAGCCAACACAGUUCAAUCCCUUCUUGUGUUUUUCUCACCUUCAGCUUCAUACUCUCGAAGAGAAGUUCAAAGCUCUGAAGGUGCAUGACACUCCUGAACAUGACAUUGAUGACAUGUUCCAGGUGCCAGACCUGGUUGUCCUGCAAAAAUUCAAGGUGCCAGAUUUGGAAAAAUACAAAGGAGUCAGUUGUCCCCUGACUCAUCUAAGGGCAUAAUGUCGGAAGAUGGCUGUAUAUGUUGAUAACGGCAAGUUGUUGCUUCACUACUUCCAGGACAACCUCACUGGGGAACCUUGGAAUUAUAUAUGCAACUUGAGAGGAACCAUAUCCAAUCUUGGAGGAACCUUGUUGAGGCGUUCAUCAAGCAUUACUAGUAUAAUACAAACAUGGCUCCUAAUUGCACCCAAUUGCAGGACAUGUCGUCGAGGAGCAACAAGUCAUUUAAAGAGCAUGCACAACGAUGGAGAGAGCUUGCCGCUAGGGUCUGUCAUACCCUCAAAUUUGCCUUACCCCAUAUCAUCUUCUUGAGCCCUAAACUUUAAGCAUACAUAUCAUAUGCAUUUAUACUCAAUGGUCAUAAUAACCCACAAGCCUAAGGCAUGAGAUUCAUCUGCAAAGACCUAGGAUCCUCUAGUCAUGUUGAGGUGUUCCAAAGCCACCUUAACCCUAAUAUAAUCCUCAAGUAUCCUACAAAUCUUGGAGGAUCACUCAAGACAUCUCACUCACUCCCCAAGUCAAAUUUGGGUGGUGAGUCCCCUUUGAAGAGCUUCAAGAUUCAUCUGGUCACUCAAGGACCAAACUCUAGCUCUUGGCCCUCCUUUUGGCUUGUACAAGUUAUGAUUCACCAUGGAUCUUGACAAUGCCAUCAAGGACCCCUUAAAUCCAAAGUUUGUUCAUGCCCCAUGGCCUUUAAACAUCUCAAUUGUACCCCUACAACUCAAACCCUAAUUCAUCUGACCAUGGUUCUUGAUGAAACUUGUGGCUCAAGAAACCCUAACUUGGGGACUUCUUGACUAUCGAGCUUGAUCAUUUUUGUCCAUUAAAUCACCAUAACAUUCAUUUAACAUAAUUUCACGUCCAUUAAAAUUCAAAUCAACCAUUUAAACAUCCUUUCAAUUCAUGUUACAAGUAGUUGGUUCAUACAUGAUUUUUCAACUUUCCAUGGCUUUAUCCACCCACCAAUUUUACCUAAAACCAUUCCACAAAGGCCCGAACUUCAUUUCCCAUAAUUAUAUGAUCAUUUUUGGUCGAAAUAUCUAUCAUUAUGGAUUGAAAAGCAAGAAACCACAAAAACCCUAAAACUAGGUCAUGUUGGUUGGUCACAUUUUGCAAGAAUGGCCUAUCAGAAGUUCCAAAGACCAUAACUUCUUCAAUUUUCAAUAUUGUUAUGUUAAACUUUGAGACAAAUGUCCUAAAUAACUUCCUUUCCAGUUUUUUUUCAAGGUCCAAGACCUAACUCAUUGAGGAAGAGGUUCAAUUUUGCUAUUGGCCAAGUUGGUCCAACAUGCCUACUAUGCCCAAAAAUCAUGUCAUGACCCCUACUUUGGCAUGUUGUCAUUUCCUAAACACAAUCCCUUUUGACCCGGUUCUUUUGCAUUUAAUCAAUUUCUUAGCAAAGAACAAAUGGCCCAAAAUUGAAGCAAAAUGCACGAGCCAAUUUUGUUUGGCCUUGGUUCAAGCAUGGAGGUUCAUCCUGAUCAGCACACAUGAUACACCACAGUCAGAAUGUCCAAAUCAACAUACCAAGUCCCCUAACUCAUUUAUUUUGGUCCCUUUGGUGCACAAACACAUAACAAAUGGUAUCAAGGUAUGAAUCAAGGUCAGAAUGCAAGCCAACACUCCUCACAAAGCAAAACCCGACCCCAUGUGCAAAAUCAGAAAUUUAUCAACAUGGCAAAAACAAUUUUUUGCAGCAGGCCAAUUCUUUGCUCUUGCUUGUUCCAAGUCCAUGCUUGGGACCAAUAUAAACCUUCCUGCAGUGCAAAUGGCCACAUAUGCUAGUCGUUUCAAUGUUCCCCAAGUCAACUCCAACCAACCUCCCACUCACAUGUGAAAUCGGUCAAAACCUUCAAGGUUUCCCUCCAAAACCAUCCAAACACCUUUGCUAUAAAUAGGUGAAGUUGUCCCAAUGCAAAACCAUGCCGAAAAAGGCCCCCGUCACUCUAUGAACAGUUGAGCUGAACCACCAUUAACAGACCAUCGAGUUUUUGAUUCCAAAGCUUUAUAACCAUAAAUCUCUGCCCAAAAACACGCUACACACUUCACUUGAGCUUUCCAAACACCUCACCAACCCUCCCUGAGCCUCAAAUGACCUGAGCUCAGUCGUCAGAAAACUUAUUUGAGCAAACUCUGAUCAGGUAGAAAUACUCAUGCCCACCUUUGAAAAAAAUUCCUAACCCCUUCGAAAUCAUCCAUAGAACAUUUCCCCUAACCUUUUGGCUCUGAUUAAUUGGUUUCUAGAAUUUAAUUUCAUUUUUAGGUUAACUGAGCUCUUCAUUUUUUAGUUCGAAACUCCCAACUCAUUCCGAACUAAAGUCGAAUUAGUAGAGUCGCCACCGAAUUUUAUUUAUGCGCCUCUUGCUGGAGAGGUAAGGGGAAAUAGUCGAUAAAACCCUCAGAAAGGUAAGCGUACAAGAAGUGCUACAAAAAGAAUAAGGAAUAGGUCUCGCAACCGAGAUUAGGAUUCAGAAAUCAAUUACACGAGGGGAAUGUAUUAGCACCCCUCACGUCCAUGGUACUCCAUGGGAACCAUUUGGGUUGUUUUUACAUACAUGUAAAGUUAUAUGCCAUUGCUUUAUUUUUUUAAAGAAUGUGCGAAAGAGGGGGUGUUUUUGUUAUUAUAGUGCUCGCCAAGGAUUUGGGCCCUUGUGCUAACGUAUCACUCAUUCAGGGAUGAGGAACCAUAGCUCCGUAGUUUGGAAUAGAGAAUGUUUGUGUGUUGGUUGAAUUUACCUUUGAGAAAAGGGUUUUUGGGUUGAUGCCGUAAGGCACCAAAAAUAAGGUUUGAUGGUUUAUGUUGAUUUUACCUUAAACAAGGGUUUGUGAAAGGAGUUUGUGAUUAUAUUCUAAAGUCUAUAGGCAGAGGUGAAUAUUCUAGAUAACAAGCCAAGUGUCUUGCAUCCAAAAUAAUCAGAGUGAGGGUAGGAAUGCUCCAUUCUUACUCAUUCUCCACCACUUAAGGCUCGUGAUGCACAAUACUAAUCGUAGUUAUUAAGUAUUUUGAGUUUGAUUAUGAAAAAGUCGUUUGAUGUUGGAUCAAGGGUUUGUUUAUUUGAUUGUGGAAAAUGUGGCUAAUGCAACAUGAAUGCAAAAUAACCGACAAGGAAAUAAAAAGGGUCUCAUUGUAAGGUAGCCCAAGAUAAAGCCUUAUGUAUGUAAAAGUGUGACCUAUUCUAAACCAAAGAUAAUGGUCUUACAAACAUGUUCCCUGAAGGUGAUUCCAUGAUGCCAUUCUUACAACUAGAAUGUAGUUUAUAGAUGAAACCCAAGUGUUUUACAAAGUAUCAUAAAGAAAGUAAUGAAAGGCCUCCAAGCUAAGGUCCUAAAUGGAAUCCUCUAAGUCCAAUUGGUUAAGUGUUUUGGUCUUUUAAUUUUAUCAUGUUUUAGUUGUUUUUGAAUGAUGACAAUAGCAAAACGCAAUAGUAAACUAUGUAUGAUGAAUUUGUACAAUGAUAAUAUGAUGAAUAUGUGUGUAACAUAAUAAGUAAAGAACAAUAAUAACAAUGAUAAUAAUAAAAAAAUAUUAGUAAUAAUCAAAGUUAAAAAGGUCAAAGUUAAGGUUUUGGACAACUUUUUAGAAUUAUCUAUCUUUAGGUCAAUAUAUUCAAAAUAUGGCGCAUCGAGGGAUAACUUAUCAGUGAUGCAAAGUAAGGAAGAUGAUUAAUGGAUCAAGUUACACUAGAUUUGCAACAAUGAAAGUUGUUCAACCUCAAGUCCAUCUAUCAAUAGAUUGACAAAAAGAAGACUAUACAACCUAAAAUUGAAUGAUUGAUUUUAGUUGUUUUAGCCAGUUAUAUUGAACCAGAUCAAAUAUUAACAAGUUAUAUGAACUAGAUGCAAUAUUAACAAGUUAUAUGAACCAUAUAAGAUAUUAACAAGUUAUAUGAACCAUGUGAGAUAUUAACAAGUUAGAUGGUUGGUAUAAACAAGUCAAAAUGAUAAUUAACAAGUUAUAAAAGGGUUAGUGAGUUAGCAUAAAUCAAAUGAAAAGGCAAUGUAUCAGAUGAAUUUAUAACUGUACAACUAAGCCUCAUAUAUAAGUCAAAUGAUCCAAGUUGGUUGGUGUGAGGAUAACCUAUCCAUGAUUCAAAGUCCCAUGGAUGAACAUUUGAUUAUCCAUUAGGAGGUUUGAAACAAGGAAGGUUCAAUCAACCCUCACCAAACAAGCAUCAUGACAAAUGAUAGAUUUCAUUGGCCCUUAACUUCAAGACCUCAAAACUCCAUUAAAAAUAAUCCAAAUAAAGUAAAUAAAAUCACCAUUAAAUUCUAGAGAAAAAUAAUAAUGGGGGUUGAUGUUCAACAUUUUUCCAAAAUAAUAAAAAUAAGGGGGUUUAAAAAAUAAAUCAAAAAGAAAAAUAAAGUGGAAAAGUAAAAUAAAAAAAAAUGACAUAAAAUGAAAAAUAAUGGUCAGGGUGCACUCCUCAGGUUCGAACCCCUGACCUUGGGGUCAUGGGGGAAUCUAUCCCCUCACCCACUAGGCCAAUGGCCCAGUUGUGAUAACAAAUAAACCGAAUCAAAUAAAUAAUAAAAAUGCAAAGUAAAUGAGAUACACACGCAAACUAGCCAAUCACAGAGUGACAACAAAAGUUUUCAAAUUUGAAAAACGCGGGUGAUGGUCGUCUUCAACCUUCGACCCCUCAGAAUCAAAACUUGAAAUCAUGGAUUUUUAACCACUUUUGAGCAUCAAAACAAGUUACAUUAACAUAAAUAAAGUGUUAUCCCCACUCAAGAGCCAGUGAUUGGCUAUAAGUUGGGAGUUCCGAACUAAAAACGAUACAUGGAACAUCAUGGUUGCCACGAUCUAAUAUUUAGCCAAAAAAGAAGGAAUUAAAUGUCUGGGUAUUAGCCAAACAAAUCUAGGGAUAAAUGCAGAUUUCCGCUAUAUCGUCCUAAAAGGGUGUAUAAGGAAUUCCAAAGAAAAUGUGUUUCGAUGUCAAAGAAAUAGUACGUCACUGGGUGAACGAUUUAAUGAUCGAAUGUAGAUAAUGGAUCAUGAAAGAAAUGAAUGGUGCCAUAAGGCGAAGAAGGAAUAAUUAGAAGUAUGCUCGCCAAGGAUUCACAAUCUCGUGCAUAUGUAUUCUCACUGUGCGAUGAGAAAAUCAAAGCAAUCAUAGUUCGUGGAACCAUAAGAAUAGAGAGAGAUAAGUGAUGGAAAGUAUAACUUGCACCAAUAGAAUGGUAUCAAGGGAACCCACAAAUGGAUGGAACUUGGAAUCGAAGAGCAAGGUGGUGUUUACCAAUAUAUGGGCUAGCAUGGCUGCCGCUAUAGGGUAAAGCAAAAAACAAAGACUGAAAUAAGUGUUUGGGUGCCAGCCAAACAACUCUUGAUUCGCAAGACGAACAACCGAUAUAUCCUCCUAAAAUGGUACAGGCGGGGCCCAAGAGAAAGUAUUGUUGUGUACAAGGAACAAUAUAUCACUGGAUGGGGAACAAACAGUUUGAAAUCAAAGGAGAACAUUAUCUUGAAUCCAUGAAGAGAUAGACUCUGAAUCGAAGAGCAAGGUGGUGUUUAAACCCAAAAAGACUGAAUUAAAUGUUUGGGGGUAUGACUCAAACAACUCUCGAUUGAUGAGGUGGACUGCCGCUAUAUCAUCAUAAAAGGAUUUAUAAGGGGUCCAAGGAGAUGUAUAGUUAAUCUCAAAAAUAUGGUAUUGAUUGAUGAAUGAAGAAUGAAAUGUUAAUAAAUAGGGUAGGAUCGAUAAAUAAGGUAGCUCGCGAAGAAACUGGGUUCUCCUGUCUACGUAUCCUUAUAGUGCAAUAAAGAAGUUAGAACUUUUGUAAUUUAGCCCACUAGGGAUGCAAGCAAGGUGAUUAAGGAUGCAAGAGGAGUGAUAGAAUGAAUGAAUGAAUGAAUGAGUGGCAAAGACUUGAUAGUUAUUGGAUAAGAAUCACACUAAAGUCUAUGAGCAAAGGUGGAUACAAUAAGCAACAGGCCAAACAUCCCGCAUCCAAAGAUAUCCAUAAUGAGUGUAGGAAAGCUCUAGUCUCAUUCCUCCUUUACUACUUAAGGCUUGUGGCAUGUAAUUUUCAUCUUAACUUUCAAGUUGAAGGAGAAAGUUUGUUGUUGUUUCCUGCAAUGAUGAAGUGAGAGACUUGAAAGUUGAUUGAUGAGAAUCAUACUAAAGUCUAUGAAUAAGGGAGAACGCUUUGAAUAGCUAGGGCCUAUGCCCCGUACGCAAAGUCGCUCUAGAUAAGGAUAGGAGAAACCCCGUCUUAUCAUUCCUUAUUACCUAAGGCUCACGAUGUAUGAUACUUCUUAUAACUGAAAAGUUAUUGGGGAAGAAUCUUCUUUAUAACUCCUUGUGUUGAUGUUGUUUUGUGUGAAGAAGAAUUGGUAGUUUAUUUGAUUUGUAUUGCACUAAAGUCUAUGAAUAAGGGAGAAUGCUUUGAAUAGCUAGGGCCUACGCCCCAUAUGCAAAGUCACUCUAGACAAGGAUGGGAGAAACUUCGUCUCAUCAUUCCAUGUUGCUUAAGGCUCAUGGCGUAUGAUACUUCUCAUAACUGACAAGUUGUUGGAGAAGAAUCCUCAUUGCUGCUCCUAGAAUUGAUAUUGAUUUGUAUGAAGAAUACUUGGUAGUUUACUUGACUCUCAUUGCACUAAAGUCUAUGAAUAAUGGUGAAUGCUUUGAAUAGCUAGGGCCUACGCCACAUACGCAAAGUCACUCUAGACGAGGGUAGGAGAAACUCUAUCUCAUUUUUCCUUAUUACUUAAGGCCCGUAUCGUACAAUUUGAAUCGUAUUUACCAAGUGUUGAACUUUGAUUUAUCUUGUAUAAACCGCUGCUUGGUAUGACUGAAGCCGCCUUGAUUGAAGAUCUGACUUAAGGCCUCGAGCUCCACAGCUUAAAGAAAAAGUCUUAUUAAGGGACCAAAGGUCUUUUGGUCACUCAAAUUAGACUGUGGGAUUAUACAAGAUCAAAGGAUUUAGUUGAUCAAAAUUGCUUUUGAUCAACUUGAAUCGAGGGUUUGAUUUGAUUUUGAGAAUUAGGUUAAUCCUAAUCUAAGGGUUACAAUGUUACAAAUUAAUCUAAGGGAUCACACAAUUUAUUUUGAAAAGAAAUAACUAUAUAGUCCUAAAAUCAUUAAUCUAAUUAUUUGACCAAAACAAAUUUAAUCAAUUAAUUAGAUAAAGGCAAACGGGAUCACGCAAAAAAUUGGUUAAACUAUAUACAUCAAAAACCAUGAAAUUAUGAAUUAAAGUCAAAUGAACUAAUGAUUAAAUUAAUGCUAACAUAUAACCCUAAUUUUAUCUUAAUCCUAAUUUAUUUACUAAUUAGGGAUUUUAAUUCUAACCUAAACUUGACCCUAGCUUAGAAUUAAUAAUCCUAAUUAAUCAAGAAUUUUUAUUAAUACAAAAAAACUAAAUUAACUCUAAUUAUGCAAAGAUAAAAUCUAAUCCUUUUUUUAUUGAAAAUUAUAAAUUAGAUUCAUUUUAUCUAAUCUAGCAACCAAUCACAUACAAGGAUGUGGCCAAUGUAAAUUGAACUUAAAACAAGAAUAAUAGAAAGGAGGGAUUACAACCCAUUACAAGAAUAAUAGAAAAACUUACCAUUCAUCCACAAAAUUUACAAUUUUGCUAAUAAUAAGAAAACGUAAUUCAGUUGAAAACAAAAUUCAUUUAUAGUUAAUAGAUAAUAUAUUAUUCUACUAAAUUAUUAUUUAUUAUUAUUAACAAUAACAUAAAUAAAAAGAAUUAAAAGUGAAAAAAAUGUUAAACCAUAACAUGAUUAUCUAUAAACGGCUAUCAUACAUCAACAUGAGCAUAUGAAUUAAUAUCCUAUAAAACAUAACGGUAGCAAUUUGUUCCACUAGAAAUGUGAGGAUUUGCAGCAUUAGCUCGCUGGCUCAUUUCUUCUUGCAUAUUCGCCAUGAUUUCCUGGCCUCUUGCUAUCUCCUGUAUAGUCUUCAUUAGCUUCCCCAUCUGGGACUGUACCUGGGAUACCUCUUCCUAGCGUGCAACUUGAUUCUGUUGAAGUUAUUCCAUGACCACUUGCUGGUGUCUUCGGUUGUUAUACCGGAAAAUCAGCUUCGGGAGUGGGGUUCUGAUCAGAAGAAAGGCGAAUGGAUGAGUUUUUAUGCUUUUAUGUUUUGAAAAAAAUGCAAAUGAUGCAUGAAUUUUGUUUCUUAUGUUAAUGUAAAUCUCUUUUAAUUAAUCGUGUUUAUUCAUUGCGAGAAUUACUUAACGAUUUAUUUUCACAAUCAUAGAUAAAGGAAAACACAAUAGAGGGAAAUACAAAGCUUUUAUUCAUCCUUUAAAGGGGAAUACAAGUUAUAAUACAUGGAAGUUGCAAAGUAGAGGAAACAAAUAAACUAACUAGAUGUAAACCCUGAAAGUGACCCCUUGAGACUUACGGAGAGCCUCAAUGUCAGUAAUGAGUUCGACCAUCGUCUUCUUGCAUAAUUUGAUGAAGUGAUAGACCUUCUAUGGAGUAUUAUCUGGGCACGUGAUCAUAUCAACUUCCUUCAACUUGUAAGGAAAGUCUUGAAGGGCAUAGUUAGUCAGUACCACCAUGUUGGUGUAUUUGUCCCUCCACUCAUUGUAAAUGGUUUAGAGGUUGUGGAUGAUUCCAUCCCUAUGAGCAAUGGCAGCUUCGGCCCCAUGGAAACACUCCUCCUAUUGUCUAAAAUUGUUUUGUAACUCCACAUAGGCUUGGUCAUAGAUCCCCCUUUUUAGAUUCUUGAUUUUCUCGCAAGCUCGUCCAAGGUUGAACUGCUUACACAAGAAGCUUCGGUGAAUCUGCUCUCUCUCUAUAGCUGUUCCUUAGCUAGGAGAUCCUUAUACUCCUUGAGAGUGGUCCUCAGUUCAUGAAGUUGGGCUUCAUAGUCUUCCCUCGCUUCUUUCUUCAUUGCAUUUGACCUCUCGACAAUUUUCUCAAGGUCCCUAAUGACUCGGUGAGCUUGAUCCAACUUGUCGUUGCGGAAGUCUAGCUUAGAAUUAGCUCCUUGUAGAGCUCUACUAACCCAAAAUCUCUGUUCCUCGGCUAUUCGGAGCCUCUUCUUGUUAUCCUCUAAUUUUUCACAAACUUGCUUACCCUUAUCCUCCAAUACGUGAUUACAUUCCAUGGCACGAUUGAGUUAGACUCGUAAUUGAGUGUUCUCCAACUCCAACUCUUUGAUUUAGUUGGGAAGUUUGUACAUGUCCUCUUGUAGGAUAGGCUUAGGCUCAUGCAUCAGCGGGAAUGAAGAAGGAUCAAACAGAAACGACAUCCUAACAACCUUAUCCCUCUCUUUUCCCCACACAAAGUAGGGUUCCUUGGCUAGGAUGUUUUUCUUACCCCAUUCUUGGUCAAUACAGACUAUGUUUGUCCAUGCUUUCCGCACUCUCUUCACAUUUGAAUCGAGCGGGUCCACGAUAUUUAUGAUGAAUCGAAUGAAGUCUUUUUUCCUUUGGAGGACUCAACAUGGUGUAUCCCAGUUGUCUCUUGAGUAUAGCAGGGUUGUAGUUGGUGCAACCUUGUGUUUCGAUUAAGGGUAUGUUUGGCAACCCUCUGCAUUUUGCAAUGACUUCUCUCAUAUCCCAUUCUCUCUUGCACCAUAAAAUCGAGUUGUCGGAGAGAGAUGCGAACUUCUGAGGCAAUGUCAGAUUGCUUUGAGUAAAAGGCCCACAUUGAGGCAUGAGGUCCCUCAUCCAUAGAUGCAAUAGAGAAGCACAACAGAGGAAAGUACCCCCCAUUCUUCUCAUGCCUUGUAUGAAAGGUAUGAUAAAAGUCGGCAAGUAGGAAAGGCACUAGAUUCUUCGUCAGAAAGACUUCAACUGUCAAGUGAUCCACACACUUUUCUACAUUUGGAAAGAGAACAAUUCCGUGAAUCAGGAGGAGUGCCAAGGUUGCGCUGCAGAAUUCAGGUUUUUUUUCUUUAAACAUUUCCCAGGCAUGGUGUCAUACCCCAAAAUUUGCCCGUUAAUCUUUCAAGACACUCCAACUCAUUGUUCAAGGCAUUGAUCUUAAAAGAACAAAGACCCAACACAUAGGUGGCCAAAUCCAGAAAAUGGCCCAAACUGGCAUGCUCGCUAGGCGAGCAACUCCUUCGCCUAGCGAACCCUUCGCUACGCCACCCGCCUAGCGAAGCUUGCGAAUACCAGAAAAUUAUGGGCUUCAUUCUGAGCCCAUCAGGUCACAAAAAUUAUUAUAAAUAGCAGAGCUUCAUUCAGAAAAAGGGGACAGAGGUAGACGAACAGGAACCCUAGCAAGGAAACCCUAACAGAAGCAACACAGCAAACCCUGGAGGCUAACCCAGAGAAUUCAGAGCAACCCUCAAGGAAACCCUGAAGGAAACUCAUCUGCACCAAGGUUACCUCCGCCCAACAACCCAGAGAAUUCAGAGCAACCCUCAAGGAAACCCUGAAGGAAACUCAUCUGCACCAAGGUUACCUCCGCCCAACUCAAUCCGGCGCCAACCCUAAGAGCGACUUGCCAAUUCAAGGUUGCAAUUCAAUUGCAAACAGGUUUGCAUUACUAUUACCGCUUUAUGCUCUUAAAUUGCAUGUGGCAUUAUGAUUGAAUCUAUAAAGACAUCUUAAGUUCUUGCAUGUGAAUUUAAGUAUGUAUGAAUAUCUUGAACGUUUAACCAUGUAAUUUCUGUAAGGGAUGCCAUAGGGUUUGGAGCUUUCUGGAAUUGUACUGUUACCAAAACCAGAACCCGCAGCCGCUCGCGAGCACAUCGCUAAGCGAGCAUGUAGCGAGUAUUCGCUAAGCCUUCGCUAGGCGAGGCAGGGGCGAACGUGACAGUCGCUGAUUUUUCUGUUCUGUUCUAUGCUUCUCUGAUCUGUUUUAUUAUCACCAUGCAUUGUUUACCUGACAUCAGUACUGUUUGUGAUUCCUUUUGUUUGGUGCAAUUCUCGAUUGCACCCUGAUUUGGUAUUCUGACCUGUUUGCUGAAUUUGGUAAGGGUUCACAUACUCCCGGAGAAGGUAGCUUGCUAGGUGUUCCACUUUAUUUGUGGGAUACCCUUGUGGAGAUUCACCCUAAUUACCUAAUUGAUUAUAAUGUGGACCUAAUUACCUAAUUGAUUACAACUACCUAACUGAUUGUAAAAUAUUGCCUUUGAAUAUGUGAUCUUGGACCUCUUUGUUGCCUUACGGUAUUACGGUAUUAUGGUCAUGUCCCUCGGUGACCCGUCAUUGUAGCCUACGGUUAAAUGAUGAUCGUCCCUUCGAAUGCUAAGGUAUCCUUACAGAUGUUGCCUUCAAUGACCAAUCGAUGACCCUACGAUGACCCUUUUACAUCCAAAGGAUAAAACUACUUACUUCUCAAUAAUAAGGACAGUUUUACCCUCAUAAGGAUAGGAAAUGCCCAUAAAGACCUUGGGUCGGUAUAACUCUUAAUUGCUGGCUCACAACNNNNNNNNNNNNNNNNNNNNNNNNNNNNNNNNNNNNNNNNNNNNNNNNNNNNNNNNNNNNNNNNNNNNNNNNNNNNNNNNNNNNNNNNNNNNNNNNNNNNNNNNNNNNNNNNNNNNNNNNNNNNNNNNNNNNNNNNNNNNNNNNNNNNNNNNNNNNNNNNNNNNNNNNNNNNNNNNNNNNNNNNNNNNNNNNNNNNNNNNNNNNNNNNNNNNNNNNNNNNNNNNNNNNNNNNNNNNNNNNNNNNNNNNNNNNNNNNNNNNNNNNNNNNNNNNNNNNNNNNNNNNNNNNNNNNNNNNNNNNNNNNNNNNNNNNNNNNNNNNNNNNNNNNNNNNNNNNNNNNNNNNNNNNNNNNNNNNNNNNNNNNNNNNNNNNNNNNNNNNNNNNNNNNNNNNNNNNNNNNNNNNNNNNNNNNNNNNNNNNNNNNNNNNNNNNNNNNNNNNNNNNNNNNNNNNNNNNNNNNNNNNNNNNNNNNNNNNNNNNNNNNNNNNNNNNNNNNNNNNNNNNNNNNNNNNNNNNNNNNNNNNNNNNNNNNNNNNNNNNNNNNNNNNNNNNNNNNNNNNNNNNNNNNNNNNNNNNNNNNNNNNNNNNNNNNNNNNNNNNNNNNNNNNNNNNNNNNNNNNNNNNNNNNNNNNNNNNNNNNNNNNNNNNNNNNNNNNNNNNNNNNNNNNNNNNNNNNNNNNNNNNNNNNNNNNNNNNNNNNNNNNNNNNNNNNNNNNNNNNNNNNNNNNNNNNNNNNNNNNNNNNNNNNNNNNNNNNNNNNNNNNNNNNNNNNNNNNNNNNNNNNNNNNNNNNNNNNNNNNNNNNNNNNNNNNNNNNNNNNNNNNNNNNNNNNNNNNNNNNNNNNNNNNNNNNNNNNNNNNNNNNNNNNNNNNNNNNNNNNNNNNNNNNNNNNNNNNNNNNNNNNNNNNNNNNNNNNNNNNNNNNNNNNNNNNNNNNNNNNNNNNNNNNNNNNNNNNNNNNNNNNNNNNNNNNNNNNNNNNNNNNNNNNNNNNNNNNAGCAAUUAAGAGCCCAUGGAUAACCAUGGAUACAAAGGGUGCUAACACCUUCCCUUUGUAUAAUGUACCUCCCGAACCCAAAAUCUAAAUUAAGGUCUUUCCUGUUCUUUUCCACCUUUCCUUAUUGGAUAAAAGAAAAGUCGGUGGCGACUCUUGCUAUCCGCGACAUUUGCUUUCCAAAGCAAAAACACACAAAGUCAGUUCACCGUAUGACACAUGGUCUUUAAGGAACUUAUGGGUCAAUACCUUGACUGAACCCUUAACACCCUAGUUGGCCACUAGCUUGUUGGCGUUGAUACCCAAGGCGAGUGAGAGCUCGAUCAAGAAGAAACCUUCUUCCAAUUGGGAAAGAGGUUAUACUCUUUGAUUGAUCGGUUGAGGAGCCUCUCAAGGUCUUCCAAAGUUGGAGAGAUUUGGAAGUCAGGGAAAGUGAAGCACCUAAAGGGGACGUCAUAGUACUGGGCCAUUAUACUGAUAACACCAUAAUCAACCUUCUUAGUUAGAAGAUCUAUUAUAUUCCCAAAGUUGGCUCUGAACUUGUUGUCCUUGAAGGUUGUCACCUUUGUGCUUGGUGGAAUAUACUAUGUGACCAUUGGUCUAGGCUGGCCAUGGUUAAAGGUUCUAAAAAAAGGGUCUUAGGGUCACUUGAUCGCGACUUAAUGAGUCGAAUUUGGGGUACAAACUGCAAGUGCACAGUUCUAUCGCGUAGUUUUAAAAGAUAUCGAUCCCACAGGGACUUAUGAAUCGAUAUACCGUUUUCUAAGGUUACUUCGUAAAGCUAAGGCGGAUAAUACUNUAAAUGAAACAUUGUCCCCAAUGUUUUAAGGAAAUCAAAAGAAAUACAAAAAGAAAAGGAAAUUAAAUCAAUGCUGCCUUCCGCCUCUUGUUCUUGGACCUGGUGAUCGUUGACGUACUUCUAAGUCUUCGAACUUGCUGAGCAACUCAGUGAACCGCUGAUCGGUUAUAGCAUUCCUCGCUUCCUAUUGUUGUUGCAUUUGGCACAUCAUUUGCAUCAUUUCGAGAUUUUGCGCUUGCAUACCAUCAAUAGCAUCCAUGAUGUCGUCGUUGGUUGCAGGUCUUCUUCAUCGACGACGUCGUGAGGAUGGGCCAGCUGCAUUAUCGGAAGGGUUGAGCAGGACUGAUUGUUGUGCAGGAGCGUGAUCACCUAGCUCCAUUUCUUCGAACUCGUCUGAAGACGGGUUUGCAUGUGAAGGCUCGGUGGCUUCGGGAGCAUUCAGAUCAUAGAGGUGGCGGUUGGGGUUGGUGACAUCCGUUAGGGCAAUGUUGGGUAGAAUAACGCUUGGGACUUCCUGGUUGUUCACCAUAAGGUAAUACUUUCCGCCUACUCUGUUCUUAAUUAGGCGGCUGGACCGACAGUAGCUUAUAUCCAUAAUUAGGGGAGGUAAAGAUUCUAAAGUUUGGAGUCGGUCCCCUAGGUUUAAGCCAAGUGCUAUGGUGGUGAUUAAUCCACCAAUUACAAAAGGUUGACGGCCUCUAGCACAUAAGGUGCGGAUAUGAUGAAAUAGGAAGGAGGCGGCGUUUACCUUAGCAUUCGGUUCGAAGACGCAUUCGAGGAAGAAUAAUUCCUUUGCGUUGACCUUGCUGUUGUUCGGUCUUCCAAAAACUGUGUUUUGUAGGAUGCGGAUAAAGUACCGGAUAGUUGGGUUAUGUAUAUGGGAAACAAGGAGCUCUUCCCAGUUGUUGGCAUCUACACCGGAUAUUUUCCUAAAGAGGUCGAAAGCGGCAACUGUGUUCCAGUUUAGGUUUGGAGGGAUUCUGGGGUAGACUUGACCUUCUAUGGGGAAUUGUAGCAUGGUACUCAAUUGGUUUUGGGUUAAGGAGUACUCGGUGUUGAACAUACGGAAGGUUGCGGUACCGGUUAAGAAUUCGUCCUCACCGGUGGGAGUGUUGUACGCAUAUGAACUUAAGAAUUCUAAGGUUAGGGAUGGGUAGGUGGGUUGAUUAUGCGUGCAUAGAAAGGUUAGAUCGGCAAGGCGGAGCAUCCACUCGAUACCUUGAAGUAAUCCUAAUUGUUGUAAACAAGUUGAAUCAGGAUACCUGGUAGAAGUGACACCUCGUUGUUGAAAGCGCUCGAAUUGCUCCCUUUGAUAGUUUUCAUCUUCGGAUCGGAAGAUGAUAUUUCCGAAAUUUUGAUUUCCCGCCAUUGUGAUGAAUUUUUGAAGGGAUGAUUUGGAAAGAAAUGUAUUUGAUAUGAGAGAAUUGUUUUGUGGUGAAUGAAGGAAGUUUUGGUAGGUAUUUAUAGGAGAAGGAUUGGAAGAUAGAAAGAAAAAGUGGUUGAAGAGUAAUUAAGUGUGGUAAAUGAAAAAUGAAUGGGGAAUGUAAAAAAAUAAAAGUGUAACGUUCGUCUCCAACGGCUCCCUAACGUUCACAUGUCUGAGGGGCGUUACGCUCGUCACAAGGCUGUGACGUUCGUAACAGGCGUUUUGCGUGCCGUUCGUCAUGGAGUGUGUGACGCUCGUCACACAGUUCUUUUUGGCAGGGCAUUCAGCAGCGCUUCACAUAAUUAAUCUGGAGAUGAAUUUAUUUUGAUUAUUUUGUUUUAUUUGGUUUUUAGAUUGUUCUAUUUAAUUUAGCUAAUUAAUUUGUGUUGCAUGCUAUUCUAUUUCUCAUAAUAAUAAUUCAUUCUGAGUAACAGUAGAACAGUAGAGAACAUAGCCAUUGCAUAAAUUAAAUAAAUAAAAGCUUUAAUAAAAUUAACAUAAUGUAAUACAGGAAGGGAAAACAAUGAAAUGAAAGGAAAAUAAAUGCGAACAUGAAUUCAAAUAACAUUAAUGAAAAAUCUAGCCUAAAACUAAAUAACUUAGAAAGAAAUAACUAAAUUCCAUCUAUCUUCGGAUCUCUGGCCGGAGGAGCAAAAGAGUUAACAUGAUGCCGUAACAUACGUAACUGACUUGCCGUGCUGCUCAUGUAUUCUAGGACUGCAAGUCUCAAGUUGUGGAAAUCUUCCCUGAGGGCGUCUUGUUCUGACAUCAAAGCUUCAAUGACGGUUUUAAUAUCUGUUCCUGGCAUAUGAUGUCGGAGAUCAGGCAUGGCUGAUUCUUCGGUCAGGACAGGCUGAGGAGGAGGAUCAAUAUCAUAGUAGCCGGAAGGUGUCUGAGGGUCAGAUUCAGCAUGAGAGAUAUGGUCAACAUAGUGCUCAUAGUCAUCACAAAUCUCAUAGUCCUGGAUGGAUUCAGUGGAUCUAGCAGGAGUUGGGGUUUCGUUCAGGUUGUAAAGCCAGUUACUGCUGUUAUGAACGCUAGUCCUAGGAUCGGGCAUGGUGAAUAAGCAAAGAACCUGGUUAUCAAUCAUAAGCUCAAACUCAUCAGACCCUAAGUUCGCUAUGAACAUAGUGUUGAAGAGGAAGGGUAUACUCAUAGUAGUAAUGCCACAAAAAGGGUUCAGGUCAAGCAUAGGCUGACGUAAUCCAAUAGCAUUACCUAUCAUAGUGAUCAAACCGCCUAUUCUAAUGGGUGCUCGCUCAUCCUGGAUAAGGUGGUCCAAAUUAGCUAACAUAAAAGUAGCACCGUUUACUGGACGGUUCUGGGAAGCACAAAAUAUGAUGAAGAGUUCAUCACGUGAAACUGAAGUACUAUUUGGCUUCUUCCCAAAUAAAGUGUGGGUCAGGAUCUUAUGGAAAUAGCGAAAAGCCGGGUUAUGUAUGUUUCCAGAGAGAAACUCAUGUUCUUCGGGCUCAUCAUUUCCAGUCAGCUUACCCCAAAAGUGUUCAAGCUCUCUAUAUUCAAAAAGUUCUUCCUGGCUUACAGUGAAUGUAUCAAAGGAGGUAGGAAAACCCAAAAGGUUGGUGAAGUCUCUAAUAUUAAAUUGGUACUCCAUAUUGAACAUUCUGAACUGGAUAAAACCUCUGCUAAUUCCUUUUCCAUGGCUAGGUAGAUAGAUUAAUGAACUAAGGAAUUCUAGUGUGAGUCUCCGGUAGGUGGUGAAAUGUCUCAGGAUAGGGGAGGUCUCCCAUCCUAUCUGAUUCAGCAAAAACAGGACACUCUGUCUCAGUCCAAGGGCAGUCAUAGCCCAAUCAUCAGCAUAUAAACUAGGUAGCAUCUCUCUAGCGGCUAGUUCUUCAAACCUUCGUUUCUGAGCCAUUCCUCUGAACUUGAUACCCAUACGGUCAAAAUGUCCCAUCUGGUUAGUGUUAACUAGAGAAAAGAAAACAUGAGUUUAAGUCAGGAUUUGGCCAAAUGCCGAAAGAAGAAAAGAAUUAUUAUUAUUAUAUGGAUAUAUUUUUUUUUUUUUUUUGAAUAAAUCAAUAAUGAAUACUAAAUAGAAAUUAAAAGAAUAAUUAAGAGAAAAAUAGAGAAAUGAUAAUAAUAAUAGAAUAAUAAAAUAACAGAUUAAUUUGUGGGUUGUCUCCCACUAAGCGCUUUGUUUAAAUGUCGCAAGCUCGACAAAGAAACUGUUAAAUAUAGUCUAUGAGUCCUGGGGGCGUUUCGUCUAAGUGUAGAAUUUGCGAAUCCUCGUUGGUUUCCGCAUAGUGAUAAUGUUUCAGACGUUGCCCGUUUACGGUGAACGGUUCUGUAGAUUGUCCUUUUAUUUCUACCGCUCCACUGGGAAAGAUUUUAGUGAUAUGAAAAGGUCCUGACCAUCUGGAUCGUAGUUUUCCCGGGAAUAACUUUAGUCUAGAGUUAAAUAAAAGUACUGCGUCGCCUUGCUUGAAGAUUUUCCUUGAUAUACGCUUGUCAUGCCAUUGUUUUGUUCUUUCUUUAUAGAUUUUGGCAUUUUCAUAGGCGUCUCUUCUGAGUUCCUCUAAUUCGUUUAUGUCAAGGAUUCUCUUUUCACCGGCGGCUUUAUAAUUCAAAUUUAAAUUUCUAAUAGCCCAAUAGGCUUUAUGUUCUAAUUCUACCGGGAGGUGACAGGAUUUUCCAUAAAUGAGCUUAAAUGGGGUCGUCCCUAUGGGAGUUUUAUAAGCAGUUCGGUAUGCCCAUAAAGCUUCUGGUAAUUUCAAUGACCAAUCUUUCCUUGAAGUGGCGACCGUUUUUUCUAGUAUUUGCUUGAUUUCUCUGUUAGAUACUUCCACUUGUCCACUGGUUUGAGGGUGGUAAGGUGUCGCUACUCUAUGUCUUACGCCAUACUUAAACAGUAGUUUUUCGAGUACCUUGGAUAUGAAAUGCGAUCCACCAUCACUGACUACUAUUCUUGGGACACAAAAUCUUGGAAAUAUUAUAUUCUUAAAGAGUCUAGUUACUACUCGUGUGUCGUUUGUUGGAGAAGCUAUAGCUUCGAUCCAUUUCGAUACGUAGUCAACUGCCACGAGUAUGUAUUUGUUACCGAAAGAGGAUGGAAAAGGUCCCAUGAAGUCUAUUCCCCACACGUCGAAAAUCUCUACUUCUAAAACGCCCUUUUGUGGCAUCUCGUCAUGUCUAGAUAUGUUUCCUGUGCGUUGACAUCUAUCACAUUUCUUAAUAGCUGCAUGUACAUCCUUCCAUAUAUUUGGCCAAUAAAAACCUGCUUGUAGGAUUUUAGAGCAGGUCUUGGAUGUACUUGCAUGUCCACCAUAAGGAGCGGAGUGACAGUGUUGGAUUAUAUUUUCUACCUCUUCUUCGGGUAUACACCGACGGAAAAUACCAUCGGGGCCUCUUUUAAAAAGUAAGGGGUCAUCCCAGUAAUAGUGUUUUAUGUCAUAGAAGAAUCGUUUCUUCUGUUGGUAGGAUAAAGUAGGUGGAACUAUUCCGGCAGCUAAAUAAUUGACGAGAUCAGCGUACCAUGGUAUGACAGAUAUAGCUAAGGUGGUUUCUACUUGCAUGUCGGAGUUGUUCUCUUCCAAAGUAGCUAUGAGUUUAUCAUACGAGAAAUCAUCAUUAAUGGAUGUUCUUUCUGGUUCAAGGUUCUCAAGUCUAGAGAGGUGGUCUGCUACUACGUUUUCAGUUCCUUUCUUGUCCUUGAUUUCUAAGUCGAAUUCUUGUAGUAACAAGAUCCAUCUUAGGAGUCUAGGUUUAGCAUCCUUUUUUGUUAAAAGGUACCUGAUAGCAGCGUGAUCAGUGUAAACUAUUAUUUUGGCUCCUACCAAGUAAGAACGAAAUUUAUCUAGCGCAAAUACCACUGCUAGGAGUUCUUUCUCGGUUGUGGCAUAAUUCAUCUGUGCUUCAUCCAGGGUUCUGCUAGCGUAAUAUAUAACGUGAAGCUUUUUAUCCUUUCUUUGUCCUAAAACAGCACCUACAGCAUAAUCACUGGCAUCGCACAUUAUUUCGAAUGGUUCAUUCCAGUCUGGUGUCUGCAUAAUGGGUGCGGAGAUCAAUGCUUGUUUAAGAGUUUGAAAUGCUUUUAAACAGUUAUCGUCGAAUAUGAAUUCAGCAUCUUUCAUCAACAGUCCGGUUAAGGGUUUAGUUAUCUUAGAGAAGUCUUUGAUGAAUCGUCGGUAAAAACCGGCGUGUCCUAAAAAGCUUCGUACUUCUCUCACGGUUCUUGGGGGUUGAAGAUUUUCGAUUACCUCUAUUUUGGCUUUGUCUACUUCAAUUCCUCUGUUCGAGAUGAUGUGUCCUAAAACAAUUCCUUCUUGUACCAUAAAGUGGCACUUUUCCCAAUUAAGUACUAAGUUUACUUUUACACAUCGCUCAAGAACUCUUUCCAGGUUUUCAAGGCAUUCUUCGAAACUUUGUCCGUAUACGGAAAAGUCAUCCAUAAAUACUUCCAUGAUGUUUUCGAGAAAGUCGGCGAAAAUUGCCAUCAUGCAUCUUUGAAAAGUUGCAGGGGCAUUACACAGACCAAACGGCAUUCGUCUAUAAGCGAAGGUACCAAAAGGGCAUGUGAAUGUUGUCUUUUCUUGGUCAUCAGGGUGAAUUGGUAUUUGAAAGAAGCCUGAAUAACCGUCUAAAUAACAGAAAUGUGAAUGUUUUGCUAAUCGUUCUAACAUUUGGUCAAUGAAUGGUAAAGGGAAAUGAUCUUUUCGGGUUGCUUUGUUUAGUUUCCUAUAAUCAAUGCACAUUCUCCAUCCCGAUUCGAUUCGUUUAGUUAUAGUUUCUCCUUUUUCGUUUUCAAUAACGGUUAUGCCUCCUUUCUUUGGUACAACGUGUACAGGACUAACCCAUUUGCUAUCAGAUAUAGGAUAUAUAAUACCUGCUUCCAAUAACUUGGUUAUUUCUUUCUUUACUACCUCACUUAGGAUCGGAUUUAGUCUUCUCUGGUGUUCCCUAGAGGUUUUACAGUCUUCUUCUAACAUGAUGCGGUGCAUACAAAUAGAAGGGCUUAUUCCUUUAAGAUCGGUGAUGUGGUAUCCUAGUGCGGUUGGAUAUUUUCUUAAGAUAUGUAGGAGUUUUUCUGUUUCGAGUCUUCCUAGAUCUGCAUUAACUAUCACAGGUCGUUCAAGUUCUAAGUCUAGGAAUUCAUAUCUCAGAUUUUUGGGAAGUGUUUUCAAAUCAGGGGUUGGUUUGUUAAGACACUGCGUAGGAUCCGGUGUUAUUGCUAAGCAUUGUUUAGAUUUGUCCUCUAAAAGAUAGUCUGAUGAUUUGUCUUCUCCUGACUCUGCUUCUUUUAUGCAUUCAUCGAUGAUAUCCAUGAAGUAACAUGUAUCUUCUAUUGCAGGUGCUUUCAAGAAUUGGGAAAGAAUGAAUUCAAUUUUCUCUUCACCUACUUCGAAGGUGAGUCGUCCUCGUUUUACGUCUAUGAUUGCACCGGCAGUUGCUAAGAAUGGUCUUCCUAGUAUAAUAGGUGUAGUAUCAUCUUCUCUAAUGUCCAUAAUUGUGAAGUCAGUGGGAAUGUAAAACUGACCUAUGCGUACGGGAACGUUUUCAAGGAUUCCUACAGGAUAUUUGAUGGAACGAUCUGCUAAUUGCACAGACAUUUUGGUCGGUCUUAAUUCUCCCAUUUCCAGUUUCUUACAUAUGGAUAAAGGCAUAACGCUAAUUCCGGCUCCUAAAUCGCAUAAGGCUUUGUCGAUGACAAAUUUUCCUAUGUGACAGGGUAUAGAGAAACUACCCGGAUCCUUGAGUUUAGGGGGCAUGUUUUGGAUUAUAGCGCUACAUUCGGCAGGGAGUGUAACGGUUUCGCUAUCUUCAAGUUUCCUUUUAUUAGAAAGAAUUUCUUUUAAGAAUUUAGCAUAUGAGGGCAUCUGCGUAAUAGCUUCGGUAAACGGAAUUGUAACGUUUAAUUGUUUAAGGAGAUCAACAAAUUUUCUAAAUUGGCCUACAUCUUUGGUUUUAACAAGCCUUUGAGGGUAAGGUAUAGGUGGUUUGUAAGGUGGUGGAGGUACAUAAGGUUCCUUCUUUUCUAGGGUUUCCUUAUUACUCUCUUCCUUUUCCUUAGGUUCACUUUCCUCAGUUGAUUUCUUAGGGUUUUGGUUUUCUAUCCUUGGAUCAGACGGUCCUUCCACUUCCGUUCCACUUCUUAAUAUAAUUGCAUGAGCUUGGCUUCUCGGAUUAGGUUGGGGCUGUCCAGGGAAUGUACCAGUUGGGGCAGCAGUAGGUGCUUGUUGUUGAGCUACUUGAGAUAUUUGUGUUUCUAACAUUUUGUUAUGGGUAGCCAAGGCAUCUACUUUGCUUGCUAGUUGUUUAAGUUGUUCGCCAGUGUGUAUGUUCUGGUUUAAGAAAUCUUUAUUGGUUUGUUGUUGGGAAGCUAUAAAGUUUUCCAUCAUGAUUUCCAAGUUGGAUUUUCUAGGGGUAUUAUUGUUAGGCAUGGAUGGAUUCGGUUUCUGAUAUCCCGGAGGUAUAGAUGGGGCUUGAUUUGGAGACUGUCCAGGUGCGUAUAAAGCAUUAUUACUCUUAUAUGAAAAGUUUGGAUGGUUCUUCCAAUUUGGGUUAUAGGUAUUCGAAUAGGGGCUUCCUUGAGCAUAGUUUACUUGCUCUGCUUGGAUUCCUGUCAAGAGUUGACAGUCCGUAGGAGUGUGGCCUUGGAUUCCACAGACCUCGCAAUUCUGAGUUAUAGCAACCACGGCGGCUGGAGGUGAUACGUUUAAACUUUCAAUUUUCUGGACCAAAGCAUCCACUUUUGCGUUAACGUGAUCAAGGUUACUUAUCUCGUACAUGCCAGUUUUCGUUUGAGGUUUUUCCACCGUUGUUCGUUCGGUUCCCCACUGAUAGUGGUUUUGGGCCAUGCUCUCGAUAAGCUGGUAAGCAUCAGCAUAAGGUUUGUUCAUUAGUGCACCACCUGCAGCGGCGUCUAUUGUUAACCUUGUGUUGUAUAAGAGACCAUUAUAAAAUGUGUGAAUUACUAACCAGUCUUCCAAACCAUGGUGUGGGCAAAGUCUCAUCAUGUCUUUGUAUCUUUCCCAUGCUUCGAAAAGAGACUCGUUGUCUUUCUGUUUAAAUCCGUUUAUCUGGGCUCUUAACAUAGCUGUUUUGCUUGGCGGAAAAUAUCGGGCAAGAAAAACUUUCUUCAACUCGUUCCAUGUGGUGACUGAGUUGGAAGGAAGAGAUUGAAGCCAUCUUCUAGCGCUAUCUCUUAAUGAGAAAGGAAAAAGACGAAGUCGAAUUGCCUCUGAAGUGACACCAUUAGCUUUAACAGUAUCAGCGUAUUGGACAAAUACGGAUAAAUGAAGGUUUGGAUCCUCGGUAGGAUUUCCAGAGAAUUGGUUCUGUUGCACUGCCUGCAACAGUGAAGGUUUGAGUUCAAAGUUGUUUGCUUCGAUUGCGGGUGGAGCAAUACUUGAAUGCGGUUCAUCUUGCGAUGGAGCGGCGUAAUCUCUAAGAGCACGAGCUGGUUCUGCCAUCUCGGGUAUCGAAGGGAAAAUAUUUUUGAAAUCAGGAAGUUCAACAGGAGGGAGAUUGUUUGCAGCACGAUAUUCCCGAAUUCGUCGUAAGACUCGGAGAUAUAGUUCGAUAUCGUUGAUUCGUAAGUAGAACGGCUCGCCUUGUGAGCGAGUGCGUGGCAUACAAAUCAACGAAAGAAAGAAAAAAAAAAAAAAAGCCUUAGUCUCUACAGCGUAACAGAAGAGUUACGAUAUCGACUAAAUAAAAGUCCCCGGCAACGGCGCCAAAAACUUGAUCGCGACUUUAUGAGUCGAAUUUGGGGUACAAACUGCAAGUGCACAGUUCUAUCGCGUAGUUUUAAAAGAUAUCGAUCCCACAGGGACUUAUGAAUCGAUAUACCGUUUUCUAAGGUUACUUCGUAAAGCUAAGGCGGAUAAUACUUUGAUUGUUUGGGGGAAAAGUUAAAACUAAAAUAAGAUCUAAAUUAAAUAUUAAUUAAGCGGAUAUCGGUAUGUAGUUCGUCGUAAUUAGGGAAUCAAUUCUUCGUUGGUUUCUUGGUUUUAAAAUAAAUCUUUUCAGUAGACACUAUUGAUUAAAAGCCUUUUCUCAAACUCUCGCUCUGUUGAAUAAACUAUGAUUUUAUAUUAACGUAGCUGUCACUUAUUAGUUAAGUCCAAAAUCACUUUUUGAAAACAAUAGAAUCCGUAGAAACUCUUUUUAAGAAAACACUAAACGUUUAAACAUCCUUGUCUCAAACUCUCGCUCUGUUGACUUAGAUUAUAUAAUUAAAUUCAAAUGCUUAACUCUCGUCCUCACAUUCAACCUUUAAAAAUACUUUUUGAAAAAGAUUAGAAUUUAAUUAACUCUAAAAAUUGCUUUCGCCCUGAUCUAGAAUUAAUGUCCAAUUUACACUGUCCAGUUAAAAACUCAAACUCUCGUUCUAUUGAUUUUAACUUCUUUAUGUCUUUUACUUUCGUACAAAACCUUGUUAUUAAACCUGUAAAUUGAGACCGUAAAAAGAGUGAUUUUAUUUUUAAAUCUAAUUAAACCAACUUAGUUUUGAUUCCUUCAUUCCGCUUACUCUACAUACCGAUACCUAAAUAAAUUAGCCAGACAUGCUUAACAAAUCUAAAUAAUCAGCAUGCAUAAAUAAUUCCAUCUCAGGCAAAUAAUAUAAAUAAACAGUAAAGCAGAGCAUAUAUAAAUUCAAACAAUGAUUAAAGAACCUGAAUAAUUUAUAGCAAUCUUGUACACUCUACCACAGACCGGUUGGAUUUGUUCUUGAAUUCUUCAAUCGGACAGGAAAAUAAAAGUGAAGGAAUAAAAAUCUAGGGUCUAACGUAAGGUUAGAUCUAGUAAAAUAUACACAAUAGUUUCCGGUGUAGAAACUAUUGUGCGAAAAAUUAAUUAAGUACUGAAAGAUUAACUGGAAAGGAAAGUAAAAAUAAGAAUUGCAAUUAAAAGCAAAAAACAGUAAAGGAAAAAUAAUGGUAUGCUUGCACGGCUGGAAGAAGAAAAAUUGAACGAAGCGGAGAGUCCCGCAGGGUUUGCCAAAAGCUACUAUUUAUAUUGGUCACUUGUUGUAACUGUUUCCAAAGGUCUUCCGUGUAAAGAGUCUUCACGUUGCAAAUGGUCAAGCGUAACAAUAGGCCUCAACGUCUUUGUUGCGCUUCUGAAGCCAAAAAUAUAGGGGAAUGGUGUGACGUCCGUCACACCAUGUGUUACGCUCGUAACACAAGUAGGUAGGGCGUGACGCUCGUCACAGCUUGUGUGACGCUCGUCACGGGCGCAGCGCCUUGCUUUUGGGCUGGGCUUUGGCUUGGUGGAAUUUGCUUCUUUUCAUUUCUUUUUGCACCUCCUUUUCUUCCUUUUUCACUUGUGCUUCAAAUAAGCUACCUGAGAUAAAUAGAAAGAAAAUACCGAGUAAUAUCGAAUAAAAUGAAGUAAAUUGAAGUAAAUAAUAAUAUAAUUUAAUUAAAUCGAGUCCUAGAAUGUGAUAUUAUUUCAUGUUAUCAAACUCCCCCAUACUUAGACCUUUGCUUGUCCUCAAGCAAAAUACAGUAUAGAACUCGUUUUAAAAAUUUAGCCAGAUGAAAUUUCAAAACACACAUCAAUUCGUACUAGGUUGCAAGUAGAUUUUGUUUAGAAGCAACUUGAAUUUAAUCUCGACAUCAAGAACUACCGUUACCACAUCUGAUAAUCUUACCUCAUGCAAACCAGUUCGAGUCAUGCUAUUAUAGCUAGCCUGGUUCUUUUACUCUUAUUUCACCCGUUUUCAUUCUAGCGAAAUCACAUUAAGCCCUUUAUCGUUUCGCGCACAUAGUGGAGUGACCGGUUAGUGAUUCUGAUCCCCUUUUUAGCUUGAAGCUCUGGUACAUGAGUCGGAUAACUUCGUUAUUUAGUCCAUUGCGAAUUGCGGGGGAUCGGACCGUAGUCCUCCCUACCAAGUUCAGUACCAGAUACCUGCUGAACCAACUCAUAAUGGGUCUUUCGUAUUAUGUUUUUGUAUGAUCUGCAACCUUUAGAUUAAAUGAUCUGGUAAGGAUCACCUAACUUAAUUAGUGCAUUUCCUGAUAUAUAUAUAUAUAUAUNUCACGGGCGCAGCGCCUUGCUUUUGGGCUGGGCUUUGGCUUGGUGGAAUUUGCUUCUUUUCAUUUCUUUUUGCACCUCCUUUUCUUCCUUUUUCACUUGUGCUUCAAAUAAGCUACCUGAGAUAAAUAGAAAGAAAAUACCGAGUAAUAUCGAAUAAAAUGAAGUAAAUUGAAGUAAAUAAUAAUAUAAUUUAAUUAAAUCGAGUCCUAGAAUGUGAUAUUAUUUCAUGUUAUCAUCACUGACUCUAGUAAAGGAAAUGAUGCUUACGUCGAAAGCACGACGGUCAUCAAUCCCCUUAAAAGAAUCUACCACUAAGUGAGGUUCUCAUAUGACCCUAACGAGGAAGGCACCUCGCGGACCAAUACUACUCAACCAACUCUCAGACUCGGGUAGAGAGUCUUUCAGACAAGGUUUUCUUUGCAAUCAUUAUUGCUUCCAAAAUUUCUUCGUCACGGGAACAAAGAUUUUUGGCUAAAUAUUAGAUAGUGGCAACCAUGAUGUUCCACGUAUCGUUUAACGUUGUUUCCCUCUAUGGUACAAAUCCCAUUUUUCCUAUGGAUUCCAAUAUACCUCGACCUUUGGUUUCAAAUUACACCUCUUCAGUCACUCGUUACCAAACCUUCAUUUCUGUGACUUUGGUCAUUUUAUUCCAUUCAUUUCCAUUAUACAUUCGUAUUCUACCUUCAUUUCACUCCAUGUGAUAUACCUAUUAUCUUUGAGCCAAAUACAAUACCUCUUUGUGCUCCGUCUUGCAUCACCUUAUGAACCAAGAGAUGUUUGGACCAUUCCCAAACACUUAUUUCUUCGUAUUUUUGGUAUUACCCUGUAGCGGAAACCAUGCUAGCCCACGUAUUGGUAAGAGCCAGAUUUACUCUUAGGUUCAGUUUCACCCCUUGUUGGAGUUCAAAUCACAUUAUUCUUUGGUUCAGACCAUACUGUUAUCACAAUUCUCUUCACCUCCUACCACUAGUUCUAUGAACUACAGAGCUCUGAAUUCCUUAUUGCACUAUAAAGAUACAUAGACAUGAGAGCCCUAAUCCUCACUGAGCACUUUAUCUAUUUCUUUCCUUUUCCCAUUCUUUUACGAGUAAUCUUUAGAUAUCACACCCAUUCGAGCGAGAACAAUAAAAACGGUUCCCAUGGAGUACCAUGGAUGUUUGGGGUGCUAAUACCUCCCCCUUGCAUAACCGACUUCCUUACCCAACAUGUCUCUUCCCCCCGAUUUUUAGCGAUGUUUUCCCUUUCCUUCGGGAAUAAAUGAAGUUCGAUGGAGACUCUGUUGUAUGUUCGAGCGUGUGAUAUGUUCAGGUAUAUUUCUGCUAGCUCCAGUUGGCGACUCUAAUGGGGAUGCUUCGUUGCUUGGAGUACUUCCUAGUCGCUAAAAGGAGUCAAGCCUAGUUUUGAUUGUUUCUCUGUUUGCUUGGGUGUUUACCUUUAUGUUUUGCUCGCUUUAUUUAUGGCAUUUCUUAUUACUUUAAAUAGUAUCAUGGAUAUUAUCUGUUAUACUCCCUAUUGUGUUUGGGAUAGAUUACAUGAGAGAAAAGCUCUAUACUCGAGCUUGAGUACAUACACAGGAUAGAAAUGUGACUAGAGUCGUGUUUGACCUCCUUGGAGUUAUUAUGUGAUUAUGGUUGACACGAGACGUCACACCUAGAGUAGAUCCUUUUGGGAGCAUCAAUAUCCGACGAGUCAUUCUUCUAAGGCUUUGGUAUCUCGAAAUGGGUCAUUGACUCUAGGAACGUUUUAGGUUGCCUUUUAAAGACUAGAACCUACCCGUGAGGGGGAUAUGGGAUUUUUCUGCAGGAAAACAUAGACUCUUCAUACCUCUAUUCUCAUGGACGUUGGACCUUUGAUCCUGCAUCAGGCAGUAUACAUAGAUUAUCCAGACUAUUGGUGUUGUUAACCUAUGUUAUUGCAUUGUUUGACAUAUGUCGGAGCUUUGAACUUAGGUUGAUAUUCCAUUAAGUCUUUGAAUUUCUGGAUGCUGCAUAAUUAUUUGCAUUUCAUUCCCAACAUAUGCAUUCAUUCAUUUGCAUUUCAUGCAUGUUAACCAGAAAACCCACCCUAUAUAUUCCUCCGUCAGAAAGAGAACGAUUCGCUGGCACAAAUCAUCCAAGGAUCAUGGAAGAGCCUAAGAGCAUUAAUUGAGCUGACAUGGUUUUGGGGUUAUUCUUGGAUAACAUGACAACGGACUUCCUAAAUCAGGUUGUGAUUGAUGAGCAAGUUGAAGAUCGUCUAAAGAAAGACAACAAACAGAAGGUGGCUGCAAGCAUUCUGCCACUUCUUCCUCAAGAGCAACGUUUACUACCACAUCAUAGGCCUGCUCAAAGCAACCAUAAAUUGAAGCAAAAACAAAUCAGCAAAGGAAAUAAAGAUCAGGAAGGGAGACGUGCUCACAAUGAUCCAAUUCCUAUGAGUUACACACAAUCGCUACCUAUACUAGUUAAUGCUGGGGCAAUUAUGCCUAAAGAAAUCGAGUCUGCUAAGUUUCCUUACCACCAUAAGCAUGACCCUCAUACCACGUGUGGAUACCAUGCUGGAUACGUAGGGCACUAUACAGAAGCUUGUCAUGUUCUCAAGACCAAAGUUCAAGAACUCAUCAAUCGGAAUUUGUUGUGCUUUACACCCAUAACUACUAAGGUGCUUAUUGAGAAGGAGUUUAAAUACAAGGGUCCUCCAAUUCAUGUGCAAAUUCAUCCACCUGUGGUCCAGCCUAUUAUGCAAUAUCCGAAUCAAGGAUACCACCUUGGAAUGUUGUUGGCCUAUCAUGGGGCAUCAUCCUUUAUUAUUGUUGUGCCUCAGUACGCCUAUACUGAGGAAUCCUAUGUCCCAUUUGGGAUUCAUCAUGGUCAUACUUCUCAUCUGAUAGUCAGUCCUGGCUUGGUGCAUUAUGCUCAAAUGUUCCAACCAAUGGCUAUUCCCCAUGUUCAUUCUCUGUCGGAGAUACCUUUGAUGCCUAUGCCAUACUACUAAUUCCCACAUGGUGUUACAUCCCAAUAUCAGCAGCCUCCUCAGGCUCAAGCUCUAAAAAGUCGAUAAAUUAUACCACGUAACCAUCAAGGGCAAAAACAGACCAGACAGUUUGAAAGAAAAUGUCUUCAACGUGAUCAGAUCCAUAUGCUUAGGUGCUACCUUACCUUGUCCAGAAAGGACUCAUUGAGACGAGAGAGAUUCUGUUGCCACUUUCCCAUAUCAUGCAAAGCACAAUCCCAAUGCCUCGUGCGCCUUCCAUGCCGGACAUAUAGGAAAUUCUACCGAGGAUUGUUGGCCUCUCCAAUCAAGAGUAUAAGAGAUAAUUGAUCAGAAGGUUUUUUCAUUCUCUGAGGCAGGACCUAAUGUCGUAGCCAACCCGUUGCCAAACCAAUAUGGACAAGUUAUAAAUGCAGUUAAUGGUAGAGAUCACUCGGAUUCAAUUGCUUUUUCAGAGGAGUAUCAAGGCUAGAAAUAUCAUAGUUGUAAUCUUUUCUUGUUUGUUAUAUGUUGUUCACUUGUAAAACUUUUCUGGUUUUCAGAUGAUAAUAAUAAUGAAAUAAACGUGCAUGUUUUUCUUAAAUCCAUUCGUGUUCACUCAUAUUUCAUUUUAUCAGUAUCAAAUUGUUUAUCAAAUAAAAUCAAAAGAGAAUAAUGCAAUUAAAAUACGCAAGAUCGUUGUCGUAUGCUUUUGAAUAAAAUUGUGCUGAUGAUGUAAGGCAUUGUUCAAUCCCUAAACACCGGAGGUAUAAGGAAGAUAAUCCUCAUUCAACCCCUUUGGGCCUUGAAGUAGGAGUUUCUUUCUUUAUACAUAAAACCGUCACAUUUAACCAGGGAUAGGGUAGUCUUCAGUUAGUUUGAACUUGCAUUCAAAAUUCAAAAGGAGAAUAUCUUAUUAAGUGAUCAAUCAUAUCAAAUCCCUCUCAAGAGGAUGGAAUCACAAAUUCAGAAUGGUUAUCCCUUACCAUAAAAGGAGUGAGAUAGUCACAACCCGUGCAACAAAUCGAGAAAGCAGUAUCACAGGAUUUGCUCCAAUAUAAAAAGAAAAGAUGAAAUGAAAAAAUCAAAAGCAAAUGAAAAAGCCCGCUAAGUCAAAAGCUUGAAAGUAAGAUGGACUUAGGAAAAAGUUAGGGUAUCCCGAUGGGCUGCAGACCCAAAGGAUCAACCCAGGCAAAAUAAGGGAAAGUAAAACAAAAGAGCAAGAGGAUCAAUAUCAAAUUCCUCAGCAAAAGUAAAUCUCUGUGACUGCAAACAAAAGCAGAAGGUGAGUGACUAUCGCUCCAAGAUCUCAUUGGGUUCCAUAACCAUAUAUGAUACUAUCCAAAAUCCUUUUUUGAAAGAUGAACGCUUGUUGUAAGCUAAUUGAACAUAGGACUGGAGAACAUCACAGAGAAUGAGUGGGUUAGAAUAGGUUUUGAGCCUCAUAUCAUUUCUUUCUAAAACCGUGAAUCAGACUACGUUAUAACCCUCAAAAGACCUAAUUGAAGCAGGGUCUAUUUCGAAACCAUACUAUGGUAAGAUCACAUUAAUAUGACUUCUAAAGAUUUGCUUGUCAUAUGUAUUGAUACUGAUAUGGCAUGUUAAUCAGUAGGUCAUUGACUAUAUGUCAUAAUUUUAGUGAACACACUUGAGUUCAAAAACAUGCAUGAGCAUGACAUUACAAUUAUCAUUUUCAAAAUGAGAAUUUUACAUGUGAACGGUCAUUUGACAUCAAGGAAGCUUACUUAAUGGGAAGACUGAACAAUUUCUUGAUAUCCCAUAGCUCAGAUCUCUUCAAGAGUCAGUCAAUCUGGGGCAACCGCGUCGAGAUUCUACAAAUCUCUCUGAAUUAGCCGGAUAUGGGCAAAGUUACUCCAAAGCUCAAGAGCACGAGAAGUCAACCAUUCCCAAGAAUGGUUAAUCAAGAGGAUAUAAUUUCAAGACGCUGGGGUAAGUCAGUUUGAGAUACUCAGAUAAUGAGACUACAAUAACCUAUGAUUGGGGCAGUUGGUGCAGAUACCCAGUAUAUUGGGGCAGAGGCAGACUAUGGAGGUACAAGCUCUCUCCAUGUUUCAGACAUAACCCAUAGAUGUGACAACGACUUUUGAGAUUGAAGUAGGUGUUAGAGAAUAAUGUUUGUUUGACCCUUUUUCCUAGCCCAAAAUUCCCACCGCCCUCUAUAUAAGCCCUUGGUUUAACCAUUCCAUAAGUCAUCUCCAUGUAUAAAUCAUGUCGUUUCGCUCAUGCAUAUCACUCAUAUAACAUAACAUGAAACCUUGCAAAUGAAAAAGCAAAACAAGAAUCUAGUUAUUGACUCACCCAAAGCCCAAUCUUUGCUUGGGAAACUAUAAAACUCUCAUCUAUAUCUCAUCCUUUCUCAACGGGAAAAUUUUCGAAUAUUUUGUAUUUAAUUCUCAUCUACCUUGAACACCCGAGAAGCUUUCACAAUUCACGCAUUCAGGUCCAAGAUGAUUAAAUAAGGGCAGCUGUCAUACCCCAAAAUUUGCCCUACUUUUUUCACUAGGCUAAUGGCUUUGUUCAUCUACAUGAAUUUAGGAAGAAAGGCUAAACCAUAGAUGAGUAGAACAAAGAUAGCCUCAAAAGCAUCCAUGCUACCGGCUUGAGCAAAAACAGUAGCCCUACCAAUGAGAAACUCAGAAGUCAACCCAAGAAUUCCUCCUUCCUUCACCAAAUGAGCAUCAAUCUCAUAUUUCUUCAGAUGAAGAGCUUCAACUAUGAUAUGAGAUCUUGGGAUCUCCUCCAAUCCACUGAAAGGUACCUUGUCAGAU